UUCGCUUGGUUCAUGUUUUGUCUUCUGCUUGUUUUGGUGCUAUGUAUUUGGUUGUCUUGCAAGUACAUUCAAUGUACUGACCUAGCGUGUCAUGCCAGUUUUGUAGGUCGUUCUCUUGUUCCGUCGUGCUAGGCCGUAAUAUUGCCAGCCCUGUGAGUUGUGGAGCCCAGCUAGAGUGAUAUGCUGCCAAGACUUUCGCCGCCAUUUAAAUAGACUUCCGCUGCCAUGUAAAUAGCCUUAAGGCUAUGCCAGAAGAUUAUAUUCAUCACUGAUGUAAUCAUAUACACAUGUAUUUGAUGAAUAUUCUUGUACCUGGAAUGCUGUAUCAUGGACCUAUCGUGCGUCAGGUGUUAUCCUGGGCUGACGUGUGAAGGCCUCCUGCUCCAUGCGGAUCGGGGUGCCACAGGGCUUGGUAUCAAAGCAGCCAAGCUAGCAUAGAUUAUCCUAGCAUUAGAUCACCGCCACCAUCAGCCCAUAAUGACCCUAAGGGAUUUGACCCAUACCUGGCAUCUGGCAUGGCCACUGUUAAUCAACAGGUGGCGCAGUCGGGACCGACACGUCCUCAACCCGCUGUCCCCGCCUAGUUAUCCGUGGAACAUGCAGCAAUCCAAUCUUUUCUGGUCGGCUGCACCGCUUUCCCUUCGCCAUUAAGGGAAAGGGGCCACGCCAUGCGGGCCUAUAAAUGCCCUUUCCGCUAGCCAUAUCGCUCGCUCCUUAGUCUGCCAUGUCCCUGUAGAGAAGCUUAGCUAGUAGCACCCCAGUCAUGGCUAGCAGCUUCAAAACUCCCACGUACUACACCCGCACCUAUGCCGUCAACCACCCUGGCUUUCCACCCCUUCUUGCCGAGAUGCUUAUCAAAGCAUUUGGCGGUAAGACUAGCCCCGAUUACCUCGUGUUCCAAUCGACACCCGUCCCUCACCUUCAUCACUUUUUUGCAAGAGUGCACAUCAGCCUAGGUCCUACAGUAGAUGUCCAGCCUUUGGUUUUACAGGAUAGAGCCAUGCCUACCUCUGGUUUAGCCAUUCAAGCCGCUGCUGUGGAGGCUAUCCUACACCUCCCAACCAACUUCCCGCAUGUAGCAACAAGGCGGGAGUUCUGCUUUUUCCCCACUAUGUCAAAUGCUGUAAUGCAGCCUUCUUCCAUUAGCCAAGGAGAUGAUCCCGCAAUCGCUCACCUGGUGCAAUAUAUCACUGCCCAGGGGAUGUUGAUUUCAAUGCUUCUUGCCGAGUUUAGAGCGACGGACAAUAAUGUGGUACGAGUCGUCAAGGAAGCUUACCGUGAGGCACAUAAGUUCGCAUCUCAAGCAGUUUGACCAACGCCAUCCGAACCAGUGCUAUCCUCUCAACCUGUGUUGUGGCCCAACCAAACAUCACCACCCUUGACAAGUCUCUUCUACGGAUCCAUCAACAGCAUUUUCCUGGAGCGAUUCCAGCCCCACCUCCCCAACCCAUAGAAGUGUAAGACGAUGAAGAUGGAGAUUGGCUCAGUCUUUGUCCUCCAGGAGAGCCCCAUCAAGGCUAGUCUUCUGCCUGGCUUCAGUCACGCAGUCAGUGGUUUCCUGCUAGUCGAUCGGUCUAUCGGUUCAUCCCUGAUAUGAGGAUGGAACCAUGUAUCUCACAGCGAGUAGUUUCGACUAGCACGUAGCAUGUUUGGGCUUUCAUGUAUGCUGGUACUGUUGUAACCCGUAUGCUGUGUUAUGUGUUUGCUUGCUUUUGUUUGUGUGUUUGUUUUUGCUUGUCUCUCUGUCCAACAGAAAUGUUUGAUAGGGUUGGCAAUGUGUGCUAACAAGAUUUUAAUCAGUACGACACAUACACUAAAAACAACCUUGACUCGUCCCGAGUCUUUAAUAAAAUACGCGCUGGUGUAGGUAUAUGCAUACCAGGAGUACAUAUACCCACUAGCAUUAAAACACCUUAGUGUGAUUUCGCUGGUGUCUUUUUCUGUUGCAUGUUUAUUGCAUCUUCCUGUUUGUUUAGAUUUUUCUGCAUAUUGUACGCAUACCCGGUUCACCGACGAGUACAAUUGAGCAGUACUCGGGGGAAUUCAAAGUCACAUAUCCUCUCCAUCUGUGCAUACCCUAUGUGCCAGAUUUUCCAAACCCAGAACCUCGAAGAGGCCAUUUUCAUCUGGCCAUUUCUCGUCCCGGAUAAUUUUCGUAAACCCGAUUGUGUUUCCAGAGAAACACUGCCAGCUUUAUUUCUCGCAAUCCAUUACAACUCCCCGAUACAGAUUUCAACUCCGAUUCUACCUCGACACCUACAUUUCAUGGAGCAGUCCGUGAAAUAUUUCCCAUGCCCUAAACUGAUUCCUGAGCUGGCAUAGACACCUCACCUGCAUCUGGACCCCGUCAUCCACACCAUCACUGCCUUGCAUGACGCUGCAAGUCACCACCACCGCUCUACCGCAGAACGUGAUUACUCCGCCGGUGCAAAGCAAGAGAGGACCAAGCCUGGUGGAGGAGAACCCCAUGCACCAUCUUCUUCCACACCUCGAGCCACCAACCGCGCGUUGUCUCGAGCCUGCUCGUUCCUGAUGAGAAUCACUAGGAGGAUCGACAAGCCGAUCAGCGUGCCCAACAGUGCCGCGAGGAACAACUAUAGAGCCACCAAGAACACCUCCUCGCCGAAGGAGCUCGGCUCGAUCUCGCCCAAACCGAAGAGGUAGUAGAGUGGCAUUGUGUUUGUGUGUUGGUAGCAAGCCGCGCUGCCGUUUUUAUAGCCCAACCCCGGUGUACGGUGAGCGGAGUCCAGGAAACUCGCUCAUCGCCCGAUCACCGGCGUCCAUGAGGCGAAUCUGCGAGUAUUGCUGACAAGGUGCUGGCCCGUGAUGUGAGUGCUCGCAGCACCGGCGCCGUGCAUGCCGUGCACUAUGGCACUAGGGUCCUCAUCUCCCUAGGAGCUAGAUGCGCGCUGCGCCAAGCCACAUGCGAAGCAGCAGCACGGGAGAAGCAGCUAGCCGGAGGUACAUGAAGGAGGCUGCCAGUGGGCCCUGGACCCACGUGUCAGCAGGUGAGUCCACUGUUCACAGGGUGCAUCUAGCAAUUUUUCGACAGUUUUAUCUCGAGUGCCCCUAGCCGUGGAUAUAACUGUGUUUGCCCAUAUCUCUCCCCGGGUGUACCAAUUAUCGGUGCCCCAACUCGUUCGAGUUUGACCUAAGGGUUAAAUUUAACCCAGAGAUUUUCUCCGAAGUGGUUAUCUUUUCUUUGUGCUGUAACCCUAGGAAUCUCGAGGACGAGAUUCUUUUAAGGGGGGGAGGUUUGUAACAGCCCCAAAAUUGGGUUAUCAAUUUUUGUGAUGUUAUUCCUUCCUGGCACUCAUUUUCAAAAUCUUUCUGCUGAGUUUUGCUGAUGACCCUGAGAUUUCUUGUCAUUUCCAACCUUUCAAACCUUGCUCAUGUCUUUUUCAGUGGGCAAGACCUAAUUGCAUCAUCUUAAACCUUCUGAAACCCUAAUUCCAAAUUUUUGGAAUUUGAAUGUGCCCUUUGUGAUUACAAAGGAGCCAUCAUUUUCCUUGAUCUGUUGAUCAUCCCAUCUGUUCCUUGAGACCCUCCUAUCCAUUUCAAACCUGGAUAUGCAAAAAUAUUGCCAAGUGCUAUGCAAUAUUUUUGAAUUAUGAUUUAUUCCUUUUCCUGCCUUUCUCAGGAAUAAAAUCAAAAGGCAUAGCUAGCCAUCUCCUAAAUUCAUGUGAAUUGGUGGAGUUGAUAAUUAUGCCUAAUGCAAGCUCUGGCAAUCAUAUUGGCCAAAAUUAAAUAAGGAAAAUUGCCUUUUCCUAUUUAAUACCAAUAUUGCAUUUCUCCCAUUUUCUAAAGGAACUACUAUUUUUAUAGCAGGGAAAAUUCUCACAUAAAUUGUGGAGCUUGUCCUUGCUAUAUAAUCACUAGUUCCAUCAUUAUCUCAUGUUCAUCCGUUCAAAAAUUGGGCACAUGAUCCAAUGCAAGUUUCUGCCUUUCUGUGAAAUUUUGCAAAGGAAGUGCUUUAUUCCUAAUUCCUAUUGAGCUGCCAUUUGGCAGGGUAUUUAAUUUUAAUAAAUCACCUAUGAAUACCAAAGAUGAGCUCAAUCCAAUCAUCCUAGCUCCCUGUGCAUUUUUCUCAAAGUUUCUGACCACAUAGUCACUUUGUGAAGGAAGUACCUUCAUGGAGUUUCCAAAUGGGAUGAAACUUUGCCAUCCUCUCAAGUAUCCCAAAUAAUUAUCCUUCACCCAAAUUAAGCUCAUUUCAUUGAGCUAUGUGAGCACAUGAGAAAUUCUUGUUUUCUGUCCAAAUUUUUAGUUUGUGAAGAAAGUAUAUUUUAUAUUGCUCCAUUAUGGCUGAAAAUAAUUCCAGGCCUUCUCCUAUCCAUAUAACCCACCUACCCGAGAGUUUGGCUAAUUUCAUUUAGCCAAUAUUUUCCUAGAAUUUUCCUAAGUUUAUGGUCCAAAGUGAUGCUCGUGAAGAAAGUACCAAUUUGGUAAAUCCAUUUGGUGUGAUCUUUUUACAGCAUCUACUGAUGACCAAAUAAUUAGGAUUUGACAACUUAUAGCUAAAUCCAACGCUUCUAGUGAGUGCUUCAUCAUCAUUUGAUUUCUGGACAUAUUUUAGCAGUUGUUAAGCAACUAUGCUAAAUAUUUGUCCAAAUGCCCUCAAAACUCCCAGGACCAUAGUCCUUGUUACCCUAAGCCUACUAGACAUCAAGUUUACCAUUUACCCUCUCUGGUUUUAUCUGUAGGAUGUUGCCAAGUUUGCAACAAAAAACUUGUGGAGCUUGGUUUACUGAUCUCCCCUUUGUCUCUGUCCAAAUCUUUACCGUAGUAAUCCUUCACUCUGGAAUGACUAUGCGGUGGACAUGAUUUAACCUCAGUAAAAUCUCCAAUGUCCGACAUGCCAGUGGUGACCACGAGGGCAGCCAGCCAAAACGGUGGUGUCGGCAUCGUUGCUCCAGCUGGAUUUGGCUCGUCCCUGCAUGUCCAAUAGCUCCGCAUCGUCAUCGCCGUUCGCCUGGACCCCUCUCCCCUUCGGUUUCUUCUCUGACGAGCCGUGCCAAGGGUCGAGCAGUGCGCGCCCGUGAGCUCGUCUUCUUCCUCACCCCUAUCCUCUUCCUCCAUUCGUCUCCAAGUGCCCCUCGUCUCCGUGAGCCUCUGCUGCUCGUCGUGACCCUCCUCGUCGGCUUCCCGCCGCUUCCCGUGAGCUUUGGCCGCAACUGCCGACGCUGCGCCGUCGUCGACGCACGGACACGUCGCCCCCCGCAUGCCACCUCGCCCACUCACCCUCGAGCACUCCCCGCGGCUAUAAGUAGCCCUCCCGAGCCCCCCUCGUAGCCCCCAUCCAAGCGCAGCCCUCUCCCCCUCGCCUCGGAGCCUCUCCAUCUCUUCCCCAUCGCCAUGGCCGCCGCCUCUGCCUGCUCAAAUUCGAGCAAUGGCGGGCGUGCCUCUCCCUCUCUCCACCUCCAGCAACCUCCCCGGAGCCCAUAUUCUCUUCCCAUCCUCUCCUCUGGCCGCUGGAGCGCCCGUGUGGCCUCGUCCCACAGAGCGGUCGCCGCCCGCCCUCUCCUUUGCCGCCUCGAGCUGCGGUAGACCUGCGCCUCCCUGGCGACUGCCCCUCGUCUGAACGGGUGCGGCACUCUGCCCUGGACUCGUCCGUGGCCUCGCCUCGGCCGAGGGUGGCUAGAGCAGCCUGGGCCGCUGCCGGCGACGCCCUAUUCUGCCCGCAUCCUCUGUUCUGUCGGGAGAACAAGGAGAAGAAGACAACCGAGACGGCCCCUUCCCUCGACCCCACCUGGCAGUGACCUAGGGGCAUUGACCUGGUCCUGCCAGCGUGGAUAAGUGGCUGGGCCCACCCUUCGCGUGACCCCACCUUCCAUUGACUAUAGCCGCCCAGUCAGUCCCAGCCGGCUGAAGUGCUUAUUUUGUGUACGUUUGCUGUUUAGUGCAUUUUCUGCCUAAAAAGUAAACGACCACAACUUUGCGCUUGUAACUCCAAUUGAGGUAAAUCCAACACCCACGUCUUCGUCUCAUCAAGCCCGUUCUGUUCCCAUCAUUUUUACUAUGGUUGACAUAUUGAAAAUGACCCUUUUGCCCUUGUUCCUAAAUAGCCCCCUCCGAGAGAGAACUGUUUCCGGCAAAUUUUUCCGCGGUUGUUUCUCACUUCUUCCCGGAGUAUUUGUCGACCCCCAGGCAAGCAAACCUCCUAUCAUGAGCCCUGAACUUGCAUGUUGACUUUGCUUGCACCCUAUGUGUGUGUGUGUGUGUCGGGGUUUGGGUGCGACAUAUGCCAAUGGAUGGCUUAUCUUGGUGGGAGCGAGUAGAACGUCGCGAGUGCCUGGAAGCGGGAUAAGGCGUAGACACGAACGCCGACGUACUUUACCCAGGUUUGGGGCUCUCCUAGGAGAUAACACCCCUAGUCCUGCUCUGCGGGGUCUCCGCAUGAUCACUAUGGCACAAGUGAUACAAUGGUGCUCCUUGAGUUGUGUGCUAGAGGCAGAAGGAGGCAAGGCUAGCUCUCUUCCUGCUCUAGGGGGGAGGCUAGUUCUAAUGGAGUCGGAACCCUUUGCAUGGGAGGCCUGGGGGGUUUAUAUAGGCCUACCCCCCAGGGGUACAAUGGUAAUCUGGCCGGCUGCUGGGCCCGACUGUUAGUGUCUCCAGCCUCCGGCUUCUCCGCCGACCGCUAGGGCCCGCCGCCUAGUGGGCCCCGCCGACUGGUUGGUGGCUGCUUCCUGUAGCCGUGUCGUUGGUGACGAGGGCUUGGUCAUCUUAGCAUGGCUACAGUCCCGCCGCCUUGUGGGAGGCCACUGUAGCCACACCUGGUCUUAUCAGCUUAAUGGCAUGCUCGCCUCGGGACAAGGGAUGGCCGCCUGCUGGAGGCCGGCCCCUCUCAAACCCGCCUAGUCGAGCUUCCGCCGUCUUCCUUGGGGUCACCGCCCGAUAGGGCCCGCCUCUGGCAGGCCAUACAGACAGGCCGUCGUAGGGAACAGGGCACCGCCUGCCUGUAGCAACGUCAGGGUAGAUACGACAUAGUGCUCCAUCGUGUGGGGAUCUCUGUCUGUACGGAGCACUGUAGCUACACCCAUCUCGAGCGUGGGAGGCGUCGUGCUUCACUGUAGCCAUGCUUUGACUUGUACUCUCGAUGGGGGCUCGGCCGCACCGUAGUCAUGAGGUGGCCGCCUGCCCGUUGCCGCCCUCUACGGAGGGCGGCCGCUGGGAGCCGGCCACUCGGAGCACCGUAGUCUUGGCUCGGCCGCCCUCUGGCAACCGGCUGCUGAGCCAGCCGGCCCCAGAGGGCGCAGCUUCAGUUGGGGUCCAGCUAGGCGGAGCUAGCCCAAAGACUUGAUAAAUCCAGGGACCCGGGUGAGCCUACCCGUGGCCCAUUACUCCGAUGAUAGUCCCCGAAGCCGGUUAGGCACCGCGGUCGAGGGGCUCCGAAGCCUCAACGUUUUCCUCCCUCACCGGGCUCUGGGAAGGCGCCGGUCCGCCAUGCAGCCGGCCGACUGCUGAGGCCAACUUCUUCCAGAUGAAGCUUGCACAGUUGGUUUUUUGGACUUCAAGGAGGGAAAUAGGUGGCGUGCCUACUAAGCUUCCCAUGCCGCCGCCCGCCAUGGAUGCGCCAUGUGGUGCACGUCAGCCUGGUCGGCCUGCCACCCCACGUUUUGGACAGGAUGUGACACAGGGCCGGGCCCGCCACUACCGUGCCUCGGCGACCGGGCGGAUCCAUUGCGCCAAGGGGACGGUUUCCAUCCCCCAGAAUCAUUAAUGGUGUGGUAAGUGCGCGCGGAAAGUGGGGGCCGUGGGGACGUGGGCGCAGUUAAUCCCACGACCUCACGCCUCGCCCCCUCAGCUUCAUAGCCCGGGCGCUAUAAGUAGGGAUGGGGGAGAGGUUCGGCAAAGCUGCUGCGCCCCCUCCCACUCUUCCUCUUCUUCCUCUCAUCCCCCACUGCUGCUGCUACCGUAGUGCCGCCGCCGUUGUCCACCGCCGACGCGUUUCUCCUCUCCUAGCCGCCAGCCGGAGCCAUGGGUGACUAGGAUGGAUCGACCGUGAUCUAGGAUCACAUCUCCUUCCUCCGUGACACGCGCCGGAUGCCCAGCGUGGCCUUCUUCAAGGCGCAGGUGCCGCCGGAGACUGAGAUCUCACUGGUGCCAUAGGAAGGCGAGCGGGUCGUCUUCCGCUCGCAUUUCAUGUGCGGCUUCGUCCUCCCGGCAAGUGACUUCUUCCGCGCCUUCCUCGACUUCUACCAUCUUCAACCUCACCACCUCACGCCCAAUGACGUGACCCUGCUCUCUGCCUUCAUCACGGCGUGCGAGGGCUACCUCGGCAUCGUCCCCACAAUCAAGCUGUGGGGAGCAUUCUUUUAUGGAAAGCUCGGCACCUCCACCAAGGAGAUGGCGGCCGAGUGCGGGGGCUUCGUCGCCGUGCGCCGGCCGGCGAAGCAGAACGCCUUCCCCGUCAUCAAGCUGGCGCAGUCGAUGAAGAUGUGGUAGCAGUCCUACUUCUACAUUACGAACGUGGACCCGGCUGCCGACUUCCUCAACCUGUCGGCCUACGAGGCCGGCCCCCCCACCGGAGCUCGCAUCUCCUCGAAGUACAAGCCGAAGCCAGUGUUGGCGGACGUGGCGGCCGCCAUUGGCCGACUUCGAGUGCUCCAGGAAACGGAGGGCCUCGUGGCUUCCGACCUCCUCUUCGCCUUCGUCGAGCGUCGGGUCCUCCCGCUCUAGAGCCUCCCUCAUCCGAUCUUCCGGAUGGGCGGACACCGCGAUCCGUGCCGGUUGUGCACGAAAGGGAUGCCGCCCACUGAUGUUUCACGGAUGGUAAACAAGAUCUCCGACCUCAGAAUGUCGGAGAAGGAGUGGCGGUACGGGAAGCGUCCAUACUCUCGCCACAACCCACCUCCCGCUGUAAGUUUCUUCUUUUUGUCCUUUGAAUUGUUUCCUUCAGCUUUGUUUCUCCUCAUGACGCCACCCUUUCUUGGUUGCAGAUUUACAUGUCCGAGGCAACGGCCGCCCUCCUGGGGCCGGGUGAUGCCGUCUAGGCGGACAGGGCGGAGAGAGAUUUGGACGACCCCGACUUGGGGGCGGCCGCCCUGGCUGACGAUGCGAUAGGAGACGGUGGCAGAGCGGAUGGCGGUAGUGGAGCCGGUGGCUUCGAAGGAGGCGGCGGUGUGGAGGCUUGGCCCGACGACGAUGAAGAUGACGACAAACCGCGCCCCGCUCGGAGCUCUGCCAGCACCGGCGCCGGCCCCUCUUCUGGACCGCCUGCCCCAGGCGGCAAGUGCAAGCGGAAACAGGGCUCGACCCUGUUCGACAGCGCUCCAAACAAGCCCAAGAACCUGGCCGCGACGACCAGGCGGAAAGAGACCGCGGCCAAGAUGGCCCAAUAUCAGAGGCAGCCGAAGGUGCCUAUUAUGGUGUCGGCGUAAGCAUCAUUCCCUCACUCCUAGUCUUUUUGUCAAUCUUGCGUGAAAGCCCUCUGACUUGUCUUCUUAUUUCAGGCCCCCGCUAACCCUCGAGAAGUCGGGCGCCGGCUCGGUCCUCAGGUCGGCAGCGACCUCCUCGACCAGUCGGCACAUCGACCCGGCCGCCGACAUCCGGGAGGCGACAGAGCGGAAUGCGUGGGAGGCGCGCGAUGAAGAGGCUGACCGCCUGGCCAAGGAGUAGGCGGCCUUGUCCGCCGCGUUUGCUGAGAGGGCGUUGGCGCAGGCGGAAGCCUAGGCUGCCGAGAAGGAGCGGCUCGCGGAGGCCGCACGCCGCCAAGAGCCGCUGCUCGUAGCGCCCUUGAACACCGCACAGCCUCCGCCUGAUUUUGAGGCGACGACCGGAGGAGCUGGUGGCGACUACGCGAUUCGGGAGCGGGAGGGCGGCGACGUAGCCAUGCCGGACGUCUUCGUGCCGCCGCCCCCGCCCCCGCCGCCUCCGCCAGCCACCGAGCCGCGGGACGAGCCGCCAGUGGCGCUGCCGGUGCCGCCAGUCGACAAUACGGUGGUGACAGUCCUGGUCCCUGCGGUCCGCCUGCCCACGCGCCGUCUUCUGGAGAAGGCGGCCUCAGCACUGCGGCCGCAGUAGGUCGGUGCCACAAGCUCGUCGGCCCCUGAUACCGAGGCGACCAAAACUGCGCCCGUGGGUUGGAUACACGGGGGCGGGACUGGCGCCCUGAACCAGGCAUCUCUUGACGUCCAGGCCAAGCUCCGGGCAGAGGCGGAGGCGCUCAAGCGUUGCAACGAGGCCUACUUGGAGUCGCGCACCGCCAUCCGGGUAAGUUGUCUUUGGGUUUCUUCUUCGGAUGAUCUUCUUUGCUUCUCUCGUGGGGGCGCGCAAGCGCACCCACUGGGUGUAGUCCCCAAGUUCCGGGCCGCAUGCUGAGCAGGCGGGUCGGAACUUUAUCUUGCAAUUGUCGACUGCUGAUUUCAUCUGAUGCCUAUUCUGCAGGACUAUCACAAUCUCCAGGCGAGCGCCUACAACUCCAAGGUUCGGGAGCUGGAGGCGCAGACGGCGCAUCUGGCCGAAAGCCGGCAUAAGUUUCUGUCUUCUUUCUUUGCGGGGGCACGCUGGCGCACCCGCGGGCUGUAUUCCUCGAGGUUCGGGCCGAUUGCUGAGCAGUCAGGCUGAAUCUCCUUAGUUGUCUUUUUUCCUUGUCAACUACUUCUUUUUUGCGGGGGCGCGCUGGCGCGCCCGCGGGGUGUAGUCCCCGAGGUUCGGGCCGACUUCUGAGCAGUCGGGCCAAAUCUCCUCGGUCGUUUCUUUCCUUUGUCUUGUCCGCUUGACUGAUGCCUUCUUCUUCUCUUUCUUUCAUCAGAGGCUAAUGCCGCCCUGCAGCAGCAGCUGGGCGAAGCCAAGACCGCGUUGCGUGGCGAGGAGGUGGAGUGCAGCAAGGUGGCGAAGGAGCGGGACCGCCUGGUCGCCCAACUUGCCGAACAGGCGGAAACCCUCAAGGCGUCCUAGCUAAAGGCAGAGACGGCGGAGACCAGCCUCAUCGCCGAGUUUGAGAUCGCGCGCUCUUCCUGGGCCAACAAGGAGGCCUAGGUGACGGCCUGCUUCAGCAGCAUCGAAGACAUGGUCGAUGGUAAGCCUCACUCCCUUGGUUUCUUGCUCUGAGCUAUCGGCCCUUGCUCAUAGCCUUGGACUUUUUGCUUCUUCUGCCCGGACAGACUUCUUCCCAGGCCAUUCCGUAGCCGCGAUCCAGAUGAUUGAGGCCCAGCGCAAGGAGCGAAGGGCAGAAGGUGCGCAGAUCGCCGCAGAUGCCCCGUGGACUCUUGGCGAACAGGUCCUGAGCAUUUAGGCCCGGCUUCGGCCUACUCACCGCUUGCUGCGCCGCCUUCAGCGCGUCGGAGCCCAGGCGGUCUCCGCCCUCUGGCCAGGCCUGCUGGCUCCGUGCACCCCCAGUCGGACUGCCGACUGGCUGGAGGUGGCGGCCGGCCGCCUGGAGGCCUAGAAAGGCUCAGCAGCCCGGGCAGGGGCGCGCCGGGCCUUGGAAUUCGUCAAGGCAUGGUACCCUCGGCUAGAUCUAGCCCAGUUAGCCACGUUCCUGCUAGAGGCGCAAGAGGAGCUGGCGGCGGUGGAAGCUGAGAUCGUCAGCAGGGCGGCGGCGAUCGUCGACUUCACUGACACCAGUGUCUUUGUGCCGGAGGUGGUCGAGGAAGGCGGCGAAACUCCGCAUGAGUGGCUCGGGUUAAACCCAGAGGACAGCGAAGAUUAUGUUGAAGUCAUCGACUCCAGCGAUGAAGGGGAAGACGGGGAGGAGGAAGGAGAGGAGGAGGAUGCGGAAGACGAGGAGAGCGACGCCGACAUGCCGGAGGUCGGGGCGGAUGGUCAGCCCUAGCCUGACCGGGCCUCAAGCAACGAGCCACGCACCGAGGUGCCGCCCUCUACUGGAGGCGUCCAACUGGGGGCGGACCCGCCGCCCGUUCCUCCGACGGACGCCAUUGACUCCGUCCUCCAGCACUCCAAUGCCCCUCCUGCCGCUGGUGACUCCUCCAUCCAGAUGGAGCCUCCUACUGCGCCAGGUGGUGCGGCCGACUCCAGCAUCCAGCCGGAGUCCUUGGCCAGGACAUCCGGCAUUGUCCAGCCAGAUCCUUCUGCUGCGCCAGGCGGCGCAGCCCAGCCAGAGCCUUCUGUUGCGCCAACCGGCACUGCCCAGCCGGAGUCUUCUGUUGUGCCAACCGGCACCACCCAGCCGGAGUCUUCUGCUGCUCCUUAGGGUUUUAUCUGCUUUCUACUUGCUGCUCUGAACAUUUUGUUAAAUUCACGCAAUUCCACCCUCGGGGUGUAUAUCAAACUCUGUUUGAAUGCUGGCCAGAGGCCUUUAUCCAUGUAAAUAGUUAUCGUUGCUUAUGCUUUGCUUUGCCUACUUCCAUCUUUCCUUGCUUUUUACUCCUUGGUUUUUCCUUUGCCGCCCUCCCUUGGCUAUCCUCUUGCCAGCCAAACAGCCGCUCUGCGGACUGCGGCUAGGUUGAGUACUUAGUCAUUUGGAGGAGGGCUAGUACUUAGCCAUUCGGGGUGUUGGCAAUGAAAGGUAGGAGUCGGUUGGCCGGCUGCUCUACAGCUGGUUAAAAAAGGUGAGAUGCCGGCCUCUGCUAUAUGCGUUUUGUCCUUAGUCAUUUUUCGUGUGAGCCCCAGUUUGGGACCCCCGCCCGCCGUACAGUCGCUUUGCGAGCUACGGCUUCUGGCAAGGGAAGUGUCUGGUGCCAGCACACUACUUGUCCGGCUGUAGGAGGUGGCAUAUAGUAGAAGGCGGCGCGCCUACGGGCCGACUGGUUGAAACUGGUGCUAGGCGGAAAAACCUAUACAUACUCAUGGCAUAAUUCUUAUCAUAUAGAUAAAAGGGGGCAGUCCCCGAGGUCUUCUCGGGGGACCCGGAGUCUUUAUACAUAGUACAAAAGGUCGCGUGAUACAUAAUGUGUUCAACUGUAAAACCUUCGGAGGAGGUUUGCGUUCCAUGGCCUCUCCGUCUCUUUGCUUGAAUCAUCCCUUUUGCGCGCUCUGGGCUUCUGGGCAUCGAUCAUAUAGUAGGCAUCGUUGCCCAACACCUUACUGAUGAUGAAAGGGCCUUCCCGAGGUGCCGAUAGCUUGUGCUGUCCGGCUGUUCGCUGGAUCAGCCGGAGAACAAGGUCUCCCUCCAGGAAGGAUCUUGGCUUCACCUUGCGGUUGUAGUAUCGACGCAGAUUCUGCUGGUAGAUGGCCGACCAGCUGAGUGCCAACAGCCGGCCUUCCUCCAGCAAGUCGACGCCGUCUUCUCAUGUUUCCUUGGCGUCCGCAUCGGUGUACAUGGUGACUCAUGGGGAGUCGAACUCAAUGUCUGUCGGGAUGACGGCUUCGGCACCGUAUAUGAGGAAGAAAGGCGUGAAGCCCGUUGACUUAUUUGGAGUUGUGCGCAGGCUCCAGAGGAUGGCCGACAGCUCGUCGAGCCAGCAGCCGGCCGAACGCUCUAGAGGCUCGACUAGUCGGGGCUUGAGGCCGGACAAAAUGAGGCUGUUUGCAUGCUCCACUUGGCCAUUUGACUGUGGGUGGGCAACGGACGCUAAGUCCAGGCGAAUGCCCUGUGUUGCACAGAAACGAGCCAGGGCUCCUUUGGCGAAGUUGGUGCCGUUGUCGGUGAUGAUGCUGUGUGGGAUGCCGUAUCGUGUGGUGAUGUCGGCGAUGACGGUCAUGGCAGUAGGCCCAUUCAGCUUCUUGAUUGGUUUUGCCUCCAUCCACUUGGUGAACUUGUCCACGGCAACAAGCAAGUGAGUCAUACCACUGCGGGCCGUCUUGUAUGGUCCCACCAUAUCCAGUCCCCAUACAGCAAAUGGCCAGGCUAUGGGAAUGGUCUUGAGUGCAGAAGCCAGUAGGUGUGGCUUGGAGCGGAACCUCUAGCACCCUUGACACUUCUGAACUAGCUCUUUGGCCUCUUCCAGGGAGGUCGACCAGAAGAACCCGUGGCGGAGAGCUUUGGCCACCAGUGAUCUUGAAGCCGCGUGGUGGCCGCACUCGCCCUGGUGGAUAUCUCUAAGUAUUGCUUGGCCUUGGUCCGACUCCACAAACCGCUGAUAAACUCCUGUGACGCUUCAUUGCACCAGCUCUUUGUUGACUAUGGUGUAAGCUGCAGCUCGCCUGUGCACUUGUCGGGUUGAGCUUUUAUCGGUUGGCAGCUCUUUAUUCACCAAGAACUCAAGGAUUGGCUGAGCCCAUGAGGGCGCCGAAAUUUCUUCGACUGCGACUACUACAACUUGUAUGAGGGCGGUUGGGCUGGGAGGCGGCGGGUUGGCAGCUGCUUCCGCCUGCGGUGCUGAAGAAGUCCCUGGGCCGACUGCUGAAGUCCCCGGGCCGGGCUCUGAAGUCCCCACGCGGGGUGUGGCCGUGGCAGUCCCCGGGCCGCCUGCCGAAAUCCCCAUGCCAGCCUUCGGGAUCGUCAAGUCGGAUCCGACUGCUUCGGGGGAGCCGGCACAAAGAUGGAGUCUGAAUCAGGAGACGGCUUAACAGAUGGCUUCACAAGGCGGCGUAAGGCGACGCUGGCUGGUAUUGCUUGUCGGGUGGAGCCGAUCCGUGCCAGGGCAUCCGCUUGCUUGUUAUCGUUUCUUGGCACGUGAAGGAACUCACACCCAUCAAAGUAUCCGCUAAGUUGCUGCACGAGGAAGAGGUAGCUUGCCAUGUUUGCAUCCUUGGCAUCCCAGUCGCCUGAUGAUUGCUGGACCACCAAGUCGGAGUCACCAUAGCACAGGAUCCGGCGAAUGCCGAGUUCUUUGGCAAGCCGGAGCCCGUGUAUGAGUGCCUCAUAUUCUGCUAUGUUGUUGGAGGCGGCAAAGUGAACUUGCAACACGUAUUUGAGCUUGUCACCCUUGGGAGAGGUGAGGACGACGCCGGCUCCCAGACCAGUGCGCAUUUUUGAACCAUCAAAAUGCAUCCGCCAAUGAGUGGAGUCUGGUGCAGGCGGCAAAUAUUGGGUCUCGGCCCAAUCGACGAGGAUGUCGGCCAAUAAUUGUGAUUUGAUGGCGGUGCGAGGCUGGUAGUAGAUGGUGUAAGGGGCCAGAUCAAUAGCCCACUUGGCCACUCGGCCAGAAGCAUCCCGGCUUCCAAUGAUCUCCAAGUAAGGCUUCAGCUUCUUGGCGGCAAAAUGCACGCCGUAACACAUCUUCUCGUAAUAGGGGUAGUUUUCCUUGGAGGCGGACAAUACUUCGCUCAAGUAAUACACUGAUCUCUGGACCGGCAAUGCUUUGUCCUUCUCCUUGCGCUCUACUACCAUGACUAUGCUGACAACCCAACUGGUGGCUGCAAUGUAGAGGAGCAUGGGCUCCUUCUCAGUCGGAGCUGCCAGGACAGGCGGGGUUGCCAACAUCUUCUUGAGUUGGAGAAAUGCUUCGUCCUCCUUGUCGUUCCACUCGAAAAAAGUGGUCUUCUUCAUGAGUUGGUACAGGGAGGAGCCUUCUCGCCCAGGCGACUGAUGAAAUGGCUGACUGACGCCAGGCAGCCGAUGAACUUCUGCACGUCCAGCAGUCGGGUGGGCACUUUCAUCAUCUCAAUUGCCUUCAUCUUGACGGGGGUUGCAUUCUAUGCCACGCUAUGAGACUAGAAAGCGGAGAAUCUAGCCGGCCGGAACUCCAAAGACACAUUUCUCCGUGUUGAGCUUGAUCUGGAAUCGGCACAAAUUCUCAAAAGUCUCUUUGGGGUCUUCUAGCAGAGUGCCACGCUUCUCCUUAUUCACCACCACAUCAUCCAGAUCUACAUGGGCAUUUCUGCCGAGUUGCUUGAGGAGGCACUUCUGCAUGCAAUGCUGAAAUGUGGCGCCAGCAUUUCUCAACCUGAACGUCAUGGUCAGGUAGCAAAAGUCUCCAAACGGCGUGAUGAAGGCGGUCUUCAGCCCGUUGGCUGGGUUCAGCUUUAUCUGGUGAUAACCUGAGUAUGCAACCAAGAAACUCAACAGCUCGCAUCCGGCUGUGGAGUCUAUCACUUGAUCAAUCCUUGGCAGAGCAAAGGGAUCUAUGGGGCAUUCUUUGUUGAGGCUGGUGUAGUCAAUGCACAUGCGCCACUACUAGUUCUUCUUCAACACUAGGACUCGGUUGGCCAGCCACUCUGGAAAAGAAUACUUCCAUGAUGAAUUCGGCUGCUAGAAGUCGGGCUAUCUCUUCUCCGACAACUCUUCUCUUCUCUUCUGACAGGCGGCGCAAGGGCUGCCUGACCGGCUUGAUGUCAGGUCGGACAUGUAGCUUGUCUUUGGGAGACCAUGCAAAGAUGUCUCGAUUCUCACGGAGGAAAUCGACGAGCUCACUUUCCUAUUUGCAGUCAAGGCCUGUGCCUAUGACAACGUGCCUCUCCGGGUGCUCCGGGUCCAAGGGUAUUUUCUUUGUUUCCUUGGCCGGCUUGAACGAGCCCUCAGCCUCCGACUCCUGGGGGGUGGGUGACAUUUCCGGCUUCUUGCCUGCCAACGCCACCACCCGGUCAAGGAGCCGUUUCUCGGCUGCAAUCAUGAGGGACUCGGCCAGCUGGCUGCUAUCUGCGACGCAAGUGAUUGACUAGUUGUAGUCUCCGACCAAUGUCAGGAUUCCAUUGGUACUUGGCAUCUUCAUCUUGAGGUAGGCGUAGUGGGGACUGCCAUGAACUUGGCUAGAGCAGGCCAGCCUAGCAGUGCAUGGUCGGGGCUCUGAAGGUCCACCGCUUCAAACCAAACUGGCUCUCGGCGGAAAUGAUUCUUGUCUCCGAAGAGGACAUCAAUCUGGGUCUUGCCAAUUGGUGAGCAGGAAAGGCCAGGGAUUAUGCCAUGGAAUACAGUCCGACUGGGGACGAGCUGCUUUUGCUUGAUUCCCAACUUCUCCAUUGUGUCACGGUACAGGAUAUUGAUGCUGCUGCCGCCAUCUAUCAAGACUCUGGAGAAACGGGUUGCUCGCCUCUCCAUUGCAAGGCUCUCUUCUAGGACCAGGGCAUAUGAACCAGGGGAAGGCAUCACUUCCGGGUGGUCGGCCCUGCUCCAACUGAUAGGCCUCUCGGACCAAUGCAUGAACUCUGGAGUGUUGGAGGCCACUGCUUGCACUUCUUGUUGUUGUUGCCGUCUGCUGCGUCUGUCGUCGGCCACGCUGGUGAACACAACAUAGGCUCCAUGUUCCUCCGGGUACUCGUCUUGUAUGGCUCCGACUGGCCGGGCCGCCGGCUGCUGGGGCUGAGGAGGCGGCAGUCUGGCAGGCGGAGGAGGCAGGAGUCCAUCUCCCUUGGCAAUUCUGGUGAGCCAGUGACACUUCCGAGUGCUGUGGUUGGAGGGCUUCGCUCCGCUAUGGAACUUGCAGGGUGCAUCCAAGGUUUGCUCAUAAGAGAAGGCAUGCAACCAAUUGUACUUGCCGCCCGUUUGCCGCUUGGGGGCUGGCUGCCCUUCUGGCUGCUGAUCCUCGACUGUUGCCACCUGCCGGCUGGUGGAAGCCGGUUGGCUGGCCUUCUGCUUGUUAUCACCUGGUUGCUGUCACCAACUGGUGUCACCAGCCGGAGUCCGAGGUGCCUGAGGUGCCACCUUGCCGGACGCGUCAACCAGGAUUUCCACCUUCAUGGAGGAGUCGGCCGUGGCAUGCUUGUCAGCGAUGACCAGCAGCUCAUCCAGGGUCUCUGGCUCAUCGCAGAGGAGUCGGUGCUUAAGGAGGGUGCCCUCUCGGCACCUGGCAGUGAAGUAUUCGAUUGCCUGCACCUCGUGCACGCCCUCGGAGGAAUUGCGCAGCUCAGUCCAGCACGUGAGAUAGUCACGAGUUGACUCCGUGGGCCCUUGGACGCACAAGGAGAGCUGUCGAGGCUUAGGAGCCCGCUUGUAGGUGCUGGUGAAGUUGCAGAUGAAGACCUCAAUGAAAUCAACCCAGCUGUUGAUGCUGCGGGGAUUCAGGCUGUUGAGCCAUGUCCGGGCAGUGCCUUGAAGCAUGAGCGGGAUGUACUUCACGGCAACGCGCUUGUUACCGUUUGCUAUACUGACGGCCGUGGAGUAGUCGACCAUCCUGUCCUCCGGCUUCACGGAGCCGGUGUAUUUGGGCGUGUCUAGCGGGAGGGUGAACCCCUUGGGGAAGGGCUCAUCUCGGAUUCGGGGGCCGAAGGAGGGUGGGCCCAGCGCAUCUUCUUCCUUAAUUGCCAGGGAUCAGUUGAGACGAUCGAUCCAAUGGCGAGCAUCAUUCUCUCCGACUCCCUCUCGAUGGACAAGGCGGUGGCCGAGUGUCAGAUGCGUGAUAGGAGGCGGAGUGGGGUACCACGCUCCAUGAGGCGGGGGAGGCGGCAGGUCGCCUCGCCGCUCUACUUCACGAGGGCCGCCGUCGUCGUCCCGCUCGAUGGAGAGGUGCGUCCCGCUGCGGCUGGCAGCCGGCUCGUUGCCGUUUCCUCCGCAAGCGCUACCAGUCGGCGUUCGGGAGGUCGCCCCAUGAUCUUGGUGUGGGGGCGGCUCGUUGUUUCAUCGGGCUGGGACUUCCGCGCGGCAGGAGGCCUCGUGCUGCACGGCAGCCGCGUCUAGGAGCUGCUGGACUCGCUCCGUCAUGUGGAGGAGCUCGUCGCCGUUGUAUUAGUUCAGCUCAUCCGUUACCGCCUGUGCGGCCAGGAUGUUUUCUACAGGCAUGGCAUAGACGGGGCGUUCCACCCCGAACAUGCUGGCGAUGGUCGUGCCACGCUCCUGAACUGUGCCAAGGCGGCUAGGCCCCUCAGGAGCUGGCGUGCCGCCUACGGUCCGGUCCAUCUCACGCCGAUAGGCGUCCGACAGCCGGCGCAUGCUAGCCAGGCGGCCAGCAUUUUUGACAAUCUAGAGGCAGCGUGCCUCUAGCACCUCAGCAUCCGCGCCCUCUGGAAUGGGCGCCAUAAGGUCGCACAGAGUGGCGUCGAGGGUAUCUUGAGCACGCCCGUCCGACUGCUCCUCACUGUUGAUGACGAGUACCUCCGUGGCGGUGCUCCCGCCACUGUACUCGCGAGGAGGCGGCUCGUCGUACACCACCACGUUGGUGGGGAACGCGUCGAGCGACGCUGUGUCGGUGUCGACGAUCAUCGGAUCGGUCGAGCCGACGUACUCCAGGUCCACAGGAGGCUCGCUGGUGACAUGGAGCUGGUCGAGGAGGCUGACGAGGCGGCUCUCACGGCAGCUUGUGCCCGCGUCGGAGGGCGGCUCGUUGGAGAGGUCGAUCUCGCCGACAAGGUCAGCGAGGCAGCUCGCCGCGCAGGCGAUCUCUGAGCCGUGCAGCGCAUCGGGGCUGACGCCGUCGGGCGUGCUGGGCUGGCUUCGCUCGCCAAGAAGGAACAUGGUUCCCGUCCAGAGCAGAUCUCCGGUAGACGGUGCACCUCGCCCCAUGGUGGGCGCCAAAUGUCGAGGUUUGGUUGCCUGAUAUGCCAAUGGAUGGCUUAUCAUGGUGGGAGCGAGUAGAUCGUCGCCGGUGCCUGGAAACGGGAUAAGGCGCAGACACGACGCCGGCGUACUUUACCCAGGUUUGGGUCUCUCCUAGGAGAUAACACCCCUAAUCCUUCUCUGCGGGAUCUCCGCAUGAUCACUAUGGCACAAGUGAUACAAUGGUGCUCGUUGAGCUGUGUGCUAGAGGCAGAAGGAGGCAAGGCUAGCUCUCUUCCUGCUCUAGGGGGGAGGCUAGUUCUAAUGGAGUGGGAACCCUUCGCAUGGGUGGCCUGGGGGGGUUUAUAUAGGCCUACCCCCCAGGGGUACAAUGAUAAUCUGGCCGGCUGCUGGGCCCGGCUGUUAGUGUCUCCAGCCUCCGACAUCUCUGCCGACCGCUGGGGCCCGCCGCCUGGUGGGCCCCGCCGACUGGUUGGUGGCUGCUUACUAGAGCCGUGUCGUUGGUGACGGGGGCUUGGUCAUCUUAGCGUGGCUACAGUCCCGCCGCCUGGUGGGAGGCCACUGUAGCCACACCUGGUCUUAUCAGCUUAAUGGUGUGCUUGCCUCGGGACAAGGGACGGUUGGCUGCUGGAGGCCGGCCCCUCUUGAACCAGCCUGGUCGAGCAUCCGCUGUCUUCCUUGGGAUCACUGCCCGAUAGGGCCCGCCUCUGGCAGGCCGUACCGACAGGCCGUCGUGGGGAACAGGGCUCCGCCUACCCGGAGCGAUGUUAGGGUAGUUACGGCACAGUGCUCCGUCGUGCGAGAUCUCCGUCUGUACGGAGCACUGUAGCCACGCCCAUCUCGAGUGUGGGAGGCGUCGUGCUUCACUGUAGCCAUGCUUUGACUUGUACUCUUGAUGGGGGCUCGGCCGCACCUUAGUCGUGAGGUGGCCGCCUGCCCGUUGCCGCCCUCUCCGGAGGGCGGCCGCCAGGAUCCGGCCACGCGGAGCACCGUAGUCUUGGCUCGGCCGCCCUCUGGCAACCGGCCGCUGAGCCAGCCUGGCCCAGAGGGCGGAGCUUUAGCUUGGGGUCCAGCUAGGGUUAGCUGGCCCAAAGUCUUGAUAAAUUCAGGGACCCGGGUGAGCCUACCCAUGGCCCAUUACUCCUACAGUGUAGUUGCAGGUAUUUCUUCUCAUUUUCAUCUGCAGUUAUUCCGUUAUGCUUACCAUGCAUGCUUGUGUGCUAUCUUUGGCUAUGAUAGUUAGAAUGUUGAUAUUGAUAAUGCCAUGUCACUACUCUACUUUAUUCUCAUGUCAUCGUUAUAAAAUGCUAUGAUACACCAUGGAUAAGUUAGUACUUGGUAUUGUUAUAUUCUUUAUGUUGUAGUUCUUCACUUCAGAAGUUCGAUAUGUUAUUAAAGCAUUUGUAUGAUGUAUUCUCAUUGUUGCAUUCAUGUUAAAAUGCUUGUAUGAUGAUUGAUGAUGGAGAAGAUAAUAAUAUGACUUAAUAACAAAACCCCUCCGACAUCGAUGGGAUCGAGUCAUACUGCCGCCAAAUCGAAUUUUUCCAAUGCAACCACAUUUGCCGGGAUGGGACGGCCCUAAUGCGGUCUAUUGUCGUGCCUCUCGCCGGUGCCUCCAACAAGGGAAGGUUAUGGGCGCAUGCUACCCUAAUCAGGUAGGCGGACAUAGGCCUUGUGUGCCCAUAGUUGGAUUUUGCGCACUUUUGUCCACGUGUGGGAUCGUUUAUGUUUUUGCCACGACGGUGGUUUGAGGUGUCUUGAGGUAGACACGGGGCCACCCAUGACUUAGCCCAGAGGGGAGCGAGUCGGAGUGGCUGGGAGAGUGUCAUGGCAGUAGAUCGGUUUUGUCGGAACGCCGGGUCCACCUGAAUGGGAUGACGAGGCCAUGGGUUCUGUGGUGUGGGUACAGUGCGCUACCUCUGCAGAGUGUAUUUAAACUAUCAAUAGCCGCAUCCUCGGUCAUGGGCAUAAGUUCGUAGUAGGGUACACUAUCGGGUGUUGGUCGAAAUGGAGGAUAAACCUGAAAUAAUUAAGCCGAUUAAUGUGGUUGUGAUCGCCGUAAGGAUCACGGGCCAGUUAUUGAUCGUGGUUGUGAUCGCCAUAAGGAUCACGGGCCAUUUAUUGGUCGGGUUGUGAUCGCCGUAAGGAUCACGAGUUUGUCUCUGUUGGUGAUCAGGAAAUGAGGUGAUCACCGGUGGUAAGAGAGUCCGAGGGACUUAGUGCACAAGUUUGGUGGCAUUGCAUGAGUAAUAUGUUUGCAUUUAAAGGACCAUUGUAGAACAUGAGAUGGUUGCAUACAGUUAACAUGCUAUGUCUGCAUUUGAUAUGAUUGGUAGUUUAUUUUCAGCAUAGUUUCAUGAUGCCAUGCCAUGCGUUGAUUGCUAUGAUUGAGAUGAUAUGCUAUGUUUUUCUGUUUCCAUGUUAGAAGUAAAUUUUCUAUGCCAUGUCGUUGCCAUGCUAGUAGAUGUCAUGAUGUUAGUUUGAUUUAUGUCUUUGGUUGAUAUCAUGCCAUGUUUAGUAAUUGAUAUAAGAUAGGUUGUUGCAUUCGCUCGGUUCAUGCUUUGUCUUCUGCUUGUUUGGAUGCUAUGUAUUUGGUUGUCUUACAAGUACAUUCAAUGUACUGACCUGGCAUGUCAUGCCAGUUUUGUAGGUCGUUCUUGCGGUGUUCUGGGAACGGGGGUCCCCAGACUUGCCUGCCUGCGGCCUGCAGUAUGGCUCAAGUGGUGGCCUAGUACGGCCCAUCUCCAUCAGCACAAGACUGAAGACCCUCGCGAGGGGCCAAGCCUCGCGGGGCGGACACAAGACUUCUUCAAGAACGGCCUCGCUAGGCAGGCUCGCGGGGAGGUGGAGAGAUCAAUGCAGGGUACCUCGUGAGGUGCUCGUGACGCAAGCCAUGACGAUCGGGACCAGGCGGGCGCCGGCCUGUGCAGUGUCCUUGUUUCCUCUUUGGUGCAAAGGGGGCAAGCACAUGCGUAGAGUACCGAGGCAUCAGGCAAACGUUGCCAUUUCAGUGCAACGAGACCAAGACCAGCGGAGCGGCAGGAUGGAGGUCACCGUGGAGCCCAGGACGGCGUCAUCACCAGUGCCUUUGGCAGCCGAAGACCAACUUUAGUCAGGAUAACUUGUACUAGAUGUUCCCCUUCGAAAUGGCCGUUUUUGGUGCCCUUCUCGCUCAAUAUUUGGGAAGAGGCCCAGGGCCUCUAUAUAUAGGGAUACCUACCACAGAAUAGGGGCAUCUGGUUCGGCAUCCAAGAGGCGAUCGAACUCACCCAAGCAGUUCAUCGCACCAGCUCAAGAACACCUCUCGCGAGGCUGUUCUUCCCUUGUACUGUUCAUCAUCAGCCCCUGAGUCAAUCCACCACACCACACACUGGAGUAGGGUAAUACACCAAAACGGUGGCCCAAACCAGUAUAAAUCUUGUGUCCCUUGUGUUGUUCAUCGUUUUAGCUUAGAUUCUCACAAGGCGAUCGGACGUAGGUCGGUAGGGGAAAGAUCUUCGUGCGCACCCCAGAGUUCGAACCUUAAUGGUCUGCAGAACCCAACAUCCGACAGUUCUCUUGUUCUGUCGUGCUAGGCCAUAAUCUUUCCAGUCCUGUGAGUUGUGGAGCCCAGCCAGAGUGAUAUGCUGCCAAGACUUCCGCCACCAUUUAAAUAGACUUCUGCUGCCAUGUAAAUAGCCUUAGGGCUAUGCCGGAAGAUUAUAUUCAUCACUGAUGUAAUCAUAUACACAUGUAUUUGAUGAAUAUUCUUGUACCUGGAAUGCUGUAUCAUGGACCUGUCGUGCGUCAGAUGUUAUCCUGGGCUGACGUGCGAAGGCCCCCUGCUUCAUGCGGAUCGGCGUGCCAUAGGUGAUUUUGUCCUUGAUAACAAGGCGAGCCAUCAAACCUUUUUUUGACGUCACCAUGGAACUCUCAAUGAAAGCACCAAUGUCGGUGUCAAAACCGGAGGAUCUUGGGUAGGGGGUCCCGAACUGUGCAUCUGAGGCAAAUGGUAACAGGAGGCGGGGGACACAAUGUUUACCCAGGUUUGGGCCCUCUCGAUGGAGGUAAUACCCUACUUCCUGCUUGAUUGAUCUUGAUGAUAUGAGUAUUACAAGAGUUGAUUUACCAUGAGAUUGUAGAGGCUAAACCCUAGAGGCUAUAUGCGUUUGGGACCCCCGCUCGCCGUACAGUCACUCUGCAAGCUGCGGCUUCUGGCAAGGGAAGUGUCUGGUGCCAGCACACUACUUGUCCAGCUGCAGGAGGUGGCAUAUAGAAGAAGGCGGCGCUCCUAGGGGCCGACUGGUCGAAACCAGUGCCAGGCGGAAAAACCUAUACAUACUCAUGGCAUAAUUCUUAUCAUAUAGAUAAAAGGGGGCAGUCUCCGAGCUCUUCUUGGGGGACCCGGAGUCUUUAUACAUAGUACAAAAGGUCGCGUGAUACAUACUGUUUUCAACUGUAAAACCUUCGGAGGAGGUUUGUGUUCCAUGGCCUCUCCGUCUCUUUGCCUGAAUCAUCCCUCUUGCGCGCUCUGGGCUUCUGGGCGUCGAUCAGAUAGUAGGCAUCGUUUCCCAACACCUUACUAAUGAUGAAAGGUCCUUCCCAAGGUGCCGAGAGCUUGUGCUGUCCGGCUGUUCGCUGGAUCAGCCGGAGCACAAGGUCUCCCUCCAGGAAGGAUCUUGGCUUCACCUUGCGGUUGUAGUAUCGGCGCAGAUUCUGCUGGUAGAUGGCCGACCGGCUGAGUGCCAACAGCCGGCCUUCCUCCAGCAAGUAGACGUCGUCAUCUCGUGCUUCCUUGGCAUCCGCCUUGGUGUACAUGGUGACUCAUGGGGAGUCGAACUCAAUGUCUGUCGGGAUGACGGCUUCGGCACCAUAGACGAGGAAGAAAGGCGUGAAGCCCAUUGACUUGUUUGGAGUUGUGCGCAGGCUCCAGAGGACGGCCGGCCGCUCGUCGAGCCAGCAGCCGGCCGAACGCUCCAGAGGCUCGACCAGUCAAGGCUUGAGGCCGGACAAAAUGAGGCCGUUUGCACGCUCCACUUGGCCAUUUGACUGUGGGUGGGCAACGAACGCUAAGUGCGGGCGGAUGCCCUGUGUUGCACAGAAACGAGCCAAGGCUCCUUUGGUGAAGUUGGUGCCGUUGUCGGUGAUGAUGCUGUGUGGAAUGCCAUAUCGCGUGGUGAUGUCGGCGAUGAAGGUCACGAUAGUAAACCCAUUCAGCUUCUUGAGUGGUUUUGCCUCUAUCCACUUGGUGAACUUGUCCACGGCAACAAGAAAGUGAGUCAUGCCACCGCGGGCCGUCUUGAAUGGUCCCACCAUAUCCAGUCCCCAUACAGCAAAUGGCCAGGCUAUGGGAAUGGUCUUGAGUGCAGAAGCCGGCAGGUGUGGCUUGGAGCGGAACCUCUGGCACCCUUGACACUUCUGAACUAGCUCUUUGGCCUCUUCCAGGGCGGUCGGCCAUAAGAACCCGUGGCGGAAAGCUUUGGCCACCAGUGAUCUUGAAGCCGCGUGGUGGCCGCACUCGCCCUGGUGGAUAUCUCUGAGUAUUGCUUGGCCUUGGUCCGACCCCACACACCGCUGAUAAACUCCUGUGACGCUUCGUCGCACAAACUCUUUGUUGACUAUUGUGUAAGCUGCAGCUUGCCUGUGCACUUGUCGGGCUGAGAUUUCAUCGGUUGGCAGCUCUUUAUUCACCAAGAACUUGAGGAUUGGCUGAGCCCAUGAGGGCGCUACAAUUUCUUCGACUGUGACUACUGCAACUUGUAUGAGGGCGGUUGGGCCGGGAGGCGGCGGGUUGGCAGCUGCUUCCGCCUGCGGUGCUGAAGAAGUCCACGGGCCGACUGCUGAACUCCCCGGGCCGGGCUCUGAAGUCCCCGGGGCGUGCUCUGAAGUCCCCGAGCCGGGUGUGGUCGUGGCAGUCCCUGGGCCGCCUGCCGAAAUCCCCGUGCCGGCCUCCGGGGUCGUCAAGUCAGAUCUGACAGCUUCGGGGGGAGCGGCACAAAGAUGGAGUCUGAAUCAGGAGACGGCUUGACAGACGGCUUCAGAAGGCGGCGUAAGGCGACACCGGCUGGUAUUGCUUGUCGAGUGGAGCCGAACCGUUCCAGCGCAUCCGCUUGCUUGUUAUCAUUUCUUGGCACGUGAAGGAACUCGCACCCAUCAAAGUAUCCGCUGAGUUGCUGCACGAGGAAGCGGUAACUUGCCAUGUUUGCAUCCUUGGCGUCCCAGUCGCCUGAUGACUGCUGGACCACCAAGUCGGAGUCACCAUAACACAGGAUCCGGCGAAUGCCGAGUUCUUUGGCAAGCCGGAGCCCAUGUAUGAGUGCCUCAUAUUCUGCUACAUUGUUGGAGGCGGCGAAGUGGACUUGCAACACGUAUUUGAGCUUGUCGCCCUUGGGAGAGGUGAGGACGACGCCGACUCCCGGACCAGUGCACAUUUUUGAACCAUCAAAAUGCAUCCGCCAAUGAGUGGAGGCUAGUGCAGGCGGCAAAUAUUGGGUCUCGGCCCAAUCGACGAGGAUGUCGCCCAACAAUUGUGAUUUGAUGGCGGUGCGAGGCUGGUAGUAGAUGGUGUAAGGGGUUAGAUCAAUAGCCCACUUGGCCACUCGGCCAGAAGCAUUCCGACUUCCAAUGAUCUCAGCAAGCGGGGCUGUGCAGAUGACAGUUAUUGGGUGCUCCUGAAAGUAAGGCUUCAGCUUCUUGGCGGCAAAAUGCACGCCGUAACACAUCUUCUGGUAAUGGGGGUAGUUUUGCUUGGAGGCGGACAAUACUUCGCUCAAGUAAUACACCGUUAUCUGGACCGGCAAUGCUCAAGUAAUACGCGCUGUACUACCAUGACUAUGCUGACAACCCGACUGGUGGCUACAAUGUAGAGGAGCAUGGGCUCCUUCUUAGUCGGAGCUGCCAGGACAGGCGGGGUUGCCAACAUCUUCUUGAGUUGGAGAAAUGCUUCGUCCGCCUUGUCGUUCCACUCAAAAAAAUUGGUCUUCUUCAUGAGUUGGUACAGGGGAAGAGCCUUCUCGCCCAGCCGACUGAUGAAACGGCUGACUGACGCCAGGCAGCCGGUGAACUUCUGCACGUCCAGUAGUCGGGUGGGAAUUUUCAUCAUCUCAAUUGCCUUGAUCUUCACGGGGUUGCAUUCUAUGCCGCGCUAUGACACCUGAAAGCCGAGAAGCUGGCCGGCCGGAACUCCAAAGACACAUUUCUCCGGGUUGAGCUAGAUCUGGAAUCGGUGCAAAUUCUCAAAAGUCUCUUUGAGGUCUUCUAGCAGAGUGCCACGCUUCUCCUUCUUCACCGCCACAUCAUCCACAUAUACAUGGGCAUUUCUGCCGAGUUUCUUGAGGAGGCACUUCUGCAUGCAACGCUGAAACGUGGCGCCGGCAUUUCUCAAGCCGAACGUCAUGGUCAGGUAGCAGAAGGCUCCAAACGGCGUCAUGAAGGCGGUCUUCAGCCUGUCAGCCGGGUUCAGCUUUAUCUGGUGAUAACCUGAGUAUGCAUCCAAGAAACUCAACAGCUGGCAUCCGGCUGUGGAGUCUAUCACUUGAUCAAUCCUUGGCAGAGCAAAGGGAUCUUUGGGGCAGGCUUUGUUGAGGCUGGUGUAAUCAAUGCACAUGCGGCACUACUUGUUCUUCUUCAACACUAGGACUGGGUUGGCCAGCCACUCUGGAAAGAAUACUUCCAUGAUGAAUCCGGCUGCUAGAAGCCGGGCUAUCUCUUCUCCGACAACUAUUAUCUUCUCUUAUGAUAGGCGGCGCAAGGGCUUCCUAACCGGCUUGACGUCAGGUCGGACAUGUAGCUUGUCUUUGGGAGACCAUGCAAAGAUGUCCCGAUUCUCACGGAGGAAAUCGACGAGCUCGCUUUCCUAUUUGGUGUCAAGGCCUGUGCCUAUGAUAGCGUGCCUCUCCGGGUGCUCCGAGUCCAAGGGUAUUAUCUUUGUUUCCUUGGCAGGCUUGAAGGAGCCCUCAGCCUCCGACUCCUGGUGGGUGGGUGACAUUUACGGCUUCUUGCGUACUAACGCCGCCACCCGGUCAAGGAGCCGUUUCUCGGCUACAAUCACGAGGGACUCGGCCAGCCGGCUGCUAUCUGCGGCACAAGUGAUCAACUUCUUGUAGUCUCCGACCACUGUGAGGAUUCCGUUGGUACUUGGCAUCUUCAUCUUGAGGUAGGUGUAGUGGGGGACUACCAUGAACUUGGGCAGAAAAGGCCGGCCUAGCAGUGCAUGCUAGGGGCUCGGAAGGUCCACCACUUCAAACCAAACUGGCUCUCGGCGGAAAUUGUUCUUGUCUCCGAAGAGGACAUCAAUCUGGAUCUUGCCGAUUGGUGAGCAGGAAAGGCCAGGGACUAUGCCAUGGAAUACAGUCCGACUGGGGACGAGCUGCUUCUGAUUGAUUCCCAACUUCUCCAUUGUGUCAUGGUACAUGAUAUUGAUGCUGCUGCCGCCAUCUAUCAAGACUCUGGAGAAAUGGGCUGCUCGCCUCUCCGUUGCAAGGCUCUCUUCUAGGACCAGGGCAUAUGAACUAGGGGAAGGCAUCACUUCCGGGCGGUCGGCCCUGCUCCAACUGAUAGGCCUCUCGGACCAAUGCAUGAACUCUGGAGUGUUGGAGGCCACUGCUUGCACUUCUUGUUGUUGUUGCCGUCUGCUACGUCUGUCGUCGGCCACGCUGGUGAACACAACAUAGGCUCCGUGUUCCUCCGGGUACUUUUCUUGUAUGGCUCCGACUGGCCGGGCCGCCGGCUGCUGGGGCUGAGGAGGCAGCGGUCCGGUAGGCGGAGGAGGAAGGAGUCCAUCUCCCUUGGCAAUUCUGGUGAGCUAGUGACACUUCCGAGUGGUGUGGUUGGAGGGCUUCGCUCCGCUAUGGAACUUGCAGGGUGCAUCCAAGGUUUUCUCAUAAGAGAAGGCAGGCAACCAAUUGUACUUGCCGCCCUUCUGCCGCUUGGGGGCUGGAUGCCCUUCUGGCUGCUCAUCCUCGACUGUUGCCACCUGCCGGCUGGUGGAAGCCGGCUGGGUGGCCUUCCGCUUGUUAUCACCUGGUUGCUGUCGCCGACUGGUGUCACCAGCCGGAGUCCAAGGUGCCUGAUGUGCCACCUUGCCGGACGCGUCAACAAGGAUUUCCGCCUUCAUGGAGGAGUCGGCCGUGGUAUGCUUGUCGGCGAUGACCAGCAGCUCAUCGAGGGUAUCGGGCUCGUCGCAGAGGAUUCGGUGCUUGAGGAGGGUGCCCUCUCGGCACCCGGCAGUGAAGUAUUCGAUUGCCUGCACCUCGUGCACGCCCUCGCGGGAAUUGCGCAGCUCGGUCCAGCGCGUCAAGUAGUCGCGAGUUGUCUCCAUGGCCCCUUGGACGCACAAGGAGAGUUGUCGGGGCUUAGGAGCCCGCUUGUAGGUGCUGGUGAAGUUGCGGAUGAAGACCUCAAUGAAAUCAACCCAGCUGUUGAUGCUGCGGGGAUUCAGGCUGUUGAGCCACGUCCCGGCAGUGCCUUGAAGCAUGAGUGGGACGUACUUCAUGGCAACGCGCUUGUUGCCGUUUUCUAUAAUGACGUCCGUGGAGUAGUCGACCAUCCAGUCCUCCGGCUUCACGGAGCCGGUGUAUUUGGGCGUGUCUAGCAGGAGGGUGAAUGUCACACCCAAUAUGCGAUACUAUCCAAAAGAGACUCAAAGGUCCCACGAAGGAUAGAACCGCAUAUUGAAACGCUUUUGCAAGGUGGAUAUCAUUACAUCAACAUUACAUAAUAGAUGGGGAUAAAUACAAGAGGCAUGCAAUGCCACAUGAAUACAACAUCACAAUACAUAAGAGCAUCAUCCGACUACGUAUGAAACACAAACAGAAACUCAAACGACAACCACCCUGCUAGCCCAGGCUGCCGACCUGGAACAUACCCCCUGAUCGAAGAAGAAGCAGAAGAGAACUCCAAAACAAGCAAACAUCGCUCUCGCAUCAUGAUCAUCGCAAAUCUGUACCUGCAACUAUUGUUGUAGUAAUCUGUGAGCCACGAGGACUCAGCAAUCCCAUUACCAUGGGUAUCAAGACUAGCAAAGCUUAAAGGGUAAGGAAGGGGUAAAGUGGUGAGGUUGCAGCAGCGACUAAGCAUAUAUGGUGGCUAACAUACGCAAAUAAGAGCGAGAAGAGAGCAAACGAAAUAGUCGUGAAGCUAGCAAUGAUCAAGAAGUGAUCCUGAACUCCUACUUACGUCAAACAUAACCCAAAACCGUGUUCACUUCCCGGACUCCGCCGAAAAGAGACCAUCACGGCUACACACUCGGUUGAUGCAUUUUAAUUCAGAUCUGGUGUCAAGUUAUCUACAACCGGACAUUAACAAAUUCCCAUCUGCCCAUAACCGCGGGCACGGCUUUCGAAAGUUUAUACCCUGCAGGGGUGUCCCAACUUAGCCCAUGAUAAGCUCUCGCGAUCAACGAAGGAUAUUCCUUCUCCCAGGAAGACCCGAUCAGACUCGGAAUCCCGGUUACAAGACAUUUCGACAAUGGUAAAACAAGACCAGCAAAACCUCCCGCUGUGCCAACAAAUCCCGAUGGGAGCUGCACAUAUCUCGUUCUCAGGGCACACCGGAUGAGCCAGAUGUCGGGUUGGCAUAGACCCUAAUUUCCCAGGGGGUGCCGGACAUCACUCGGUUUGGACCAACACUUGGACAAGCAUUGGCCCAGGGGCGGGGGUAAAAUAAAGAUGACCCUCGGGCUCCGGUAACCCAAGGGAAAAAGGGCUAGGUGAGGCAAAUGGUAAAACCAAUGUUGGGCCUUGCUGGAGGAGUUUUAUUCAAAGCGAACUGUCAAGGGGGUCCCAUAAAUCACCCAACCGCGUAAGGAACACAAAAUCCGGGAACAUAACACCGGUAUGACAGAAACUAGGGCGGCAAGAGUGGAAGAAAACACCAGGCAUAAGGCCAAGUCUUCAACCCUUUACCAAGUAUAUAGAUGCAUUAAUAAAAUAAGAGAUAUUGUGAUAUCCCAACAUAAUCAUGUCCACCAUGGGGCAAUCUUCAACUUCAUCUGCAAGUAGCAACGCUAUAAGAGGGGCUGAGCAAAGUGGUAACAUAGCCAAACAACGGUUUGCUAGGAAGGGUGACAAAGGUUAGAGGUUCAUGGCAAUUUGGGAGGCUUGAGGAACAAGUCAUAGGUAGCGCAGCAUAGCGAUAGAACAAAACAACUAGCAUAGCAGUGAUAGUAGUGAGAUCCAGGGUAGCGGUCAUCUUGCCUGAAAUCCCACAAGGAAGAAGAACGAGUCUGUGAAGAAGAUGAAGCCACGAAGACGAACCAAGCGUAGACGAACGCAUCCUCACGAUCGCAACGAAACGGGAACUAUCGAGAAGAAGCACAUAACAUAGUAAACACACCACACAUAUACAUGACACGAUGCACAACCAAGCAUGAUGCAUGACAAAGACUACAUGAAGCUACUCAUGGCAAGAGAUGAUGCAAACAAGAACAACACAUCAAGACAAGUUAAAUGAGGCCGGAAACAACAUAUAACAAUUCCGGUAAGUCCUCAUAUGCAAGUUUCGAAAUUGGUCCAGAUCUGAAUAAACAUUAUGUUCAAGGUGUUAAACAGCAAGUUAAGAUGCACCAAGAUGAUCUACACAACAUUCUAGUCAAGUUACAUAUAAAGUUCAUUUAAUUCAGAGCUACGGCCUAGAAGAUAUGAGCAAAACAAGAUAAACAUGGCAUUGAUGCAAAAUCCAUACAAACAUCAAGAAAACACCUCAAAACAAGGAUGUAACAUUAUAAUAUGAAACUACAUGCAAAAUCAAGCAAGUUUCAUAUAGAGCACACUCAAAACGGAGCAACGGUUCCACACACACAUGAAACAAGUUAUAGCAACAAUCUGUCCAGAACAGCAACUAGGCAUCUAGCAAACAUCAAAACAACAUGCUACAGCACCUUAACAUGAAAACAAAAGGCAUGGACAUGAUGUAAAGGUAAAUCAUAACAAAGUAUGAACACUGAGCUAUCUCCAGAAAACACUAGAACAUGCUCAGAAAGACAUGGCAAGAUUGCAAAUAAUAACAGUUUCAGACUUUGUAGAAAUAACAUCAGGCUGCAAUGUUUAGAGCUAUCAAACAACAUGUUACAGGAACUUAACAUGGCAAACAAAGGCAUGUAAUUAUACUACUAAAAGCAUAGAAGAACAGACCCUUACUGACCAUGAGCCAAAAAGGAUUAGAAAAUAUGAUGGCACCCAUGUAAACAUAGCAAGUUAUAUGAAAGAUUCAAACAUGGCAGGAACAACAAUAAGUAGGCAUGUUGGUGAGCUUGUACCACUCACCAAAGAGCAAUACAUGGCAUGACAAGGCAACCAACAGUAAGAUGACAUGUUUAUUAAGCUAUACAUGGCAAUAGGAAGUUCAUAGGGUGCAUGGAUAACUAGCAACACACAUGGCAAAACUGAACUUAAUGUUAACAAGCUGACAACAACAUUAUUUAGUAAUUUUAGAGCAAGAUUACAACAAGCUACAGCAGGCUAUAAAUUCAACCAGGGGCAUGUAUGGAUAGAGCAUGACAUGUAUAACAAAACAACCUUAGUGAACAUCGCCAGAUUAUACAUAGAAUGACUUGUAUCAGCAGGUUUACAUAGCAUCAUGAUGUAAUAGAUUCAGCCUAGCAAAACAGCAACAACAAGUACCCUACUUAACAAGCUUGAUGCACUCAGUACACAACUCACAAAAAUACAUGGAUUGCACUACUGUAACGAUGGCAUGAUGUAGCACAAAACACAUGUAGAGCUCAUGCUCAUAGGAUGCACACACAAAAUUCAACGAAAAAGACAAAUCACCAAGUUAUAAUAGUUUCAACAGAUUAACAUCAUAUAGAACUCUUGCAAUGAUGAUUCGGGCAUCAAGGUGGACUCAAACAAGAAUGGAACGAUGUAAUAAAAUGUAGGCCAUCUCUCAGUGAACAUUUUGAUAUAUUAUACAUGCAAAACGGAGUUGCGGUCAUGGAGAUAUGGCAUCACGAACAGUGCAUCAGAAUGUUAAGGACUUUGCAGGAAUUACCCUCGGGAAAACGGGAUAGAGGGAAGCGGGACGAGGAAAUCCGGGAUGGGGCCGCAUUUGGAUGGUGAGCCUGCUGGAUCUGAUCCACCCUCGUGGAUCGGGCCGGGUGGAACUCCGGCGAGGGCGGCGCGCAGGCGGCGGUCGCCGGCGACGGAGGGCGGCGGCCACGGGCGCCAACGGGGCCGGAUCCGGUGGCUCCCGGAGCCGCGACGCGAGAUCCGUUCGGGCGGGGCCAGAGCGACGGCGGGGAUGGCCAUAGGCGAGGAACGGCGAGGCCGAAGGCGGCGCGCCGGCGAGGGAGACUGGGAGGCNNNNNNNNNNNNNNNNNNNNNNNNNNNNNNNNNNNNNNNNNNNNNNNNNNNNNNNNNNNNNNNNNNNNNNNNNNNNNNNNNNNNNNNNNNNNNNNNNNNNNNNNNNNNNNNNNNNNNNNNNNNNNNNNNNNNNNNNNNNNNNNNNNNNNNNNNNNNNNNNNNNNNNNNNNNNNNNNNNNNNNNNNNNNNNNNNNNNNNNNNNNNNNNNNNNNNNNNNNNNNNNNNNNNNNNNNNNNNNNNNNNNNNNNNNNNNNNNNNNNNNNNNNNNNNNNNNNNNNNNNNNNNNNNNNNNNNNNNNNNNNNNNNNNNNNNNNNNNNNNNNNNNNNNNNNNNNNNNNNNNNNNNNNNNNNNNNNNNNNNNNNNNNNNNNNNNNNNNNNNNNNNNNNNNNNNNNNNNNNNNNNNNNNNNNNNNNNNNNNNNNNNNNNNNNNNNNNNNNNNNAGGAGUCGGCAGGGCAAGUCGGAGCGGCUCGGGCGCGGGCGGGCCCGGCGCGGGCCGGUCGUGGGCUGGAGCGGGCCGCGGUGGAGGGAGGCGUGGGGAGGACGCGCAGGGCGACGUGGCGCUCCACGAUUCGCUGAGGGGGCGGUGGCGGACAUGUCUGGUGGGGUAUGGACAUGUCCGGCGGCUGGAGGAGGAAGAAGCUAGGGUUUCGGGGGAUUCAUCCGUGAAUUUGGACGGGGAGGGCAUAUUUAUAGUGUCUGGGAGCUAGGAGAGUCCAAAUGAGGCACGAUUUUUGCCCAUACGAUCGUGAUCGAACGACCGAGAGCAUUGAGGGGGUUAGGAUGGGUUUUGGGCCACUUUGGAGGGGUGUUGGGCUUCACAAAAGAAGGGGGGUUUUGGGCUACACGGUUAACUGUUGGAGUAUCAAACGACCUCCAAAUGGAAAGAAACUUGACAGGUGGUCUACCGGUGCUAUAUCAAGGCCGCAUGGCAAACCUCGGGCCAUUCCGAGAAAGUUUAACACCCUCUCACAAUGAUAGACAAAAGGGGGACGCCGGAGGACAUAGGAGUGCCGGAUCGCAAAACGGACAACGGGGAAAAAGCUCGGAUGCAAGAAACGAACACGUAUGCAAAAUGAGAUGCACAUGAUGACAUGAUGACAUGCAACAUGCAAGAAAAUGACAUGGCAACUACGGCAAAUAACUGGCGGACACCUGGCGCAACGAAUCCGGGGCGUUACAGUGAACCCCUUGGGGAAGGGCUCAUCUCGGAUUCGGGGGCCGAAGCAGGGAGGGACCAGUGCAUCUUCUUCUUCAAGUGCCAGGGAUCGGUUGAGACGAUCAAUCCAAUGGCGAGCAUCAUUCUCUCCGACUCCCUCUCGAUGGCCAAGGCGGUCGCCGAGUGUUAGAUGCAUGACAGGAGGCGGAGUGGGGUACCACGCUCCACGAGGCGGGGGAGGCGGCAGGUCGCCUUACUGCUCUACUGCACGAGGGAGGCCGUCGUCGUCCCGCUCGAUGGAGAGGCGCGUCCGGCUGCAGCUGGCAGCCGGCUUGUUGCCCUUUCCUCUGCGGGCGCCACCAGUCGGCGUCCGGGAGGUCGCCCCAUGAUCUUGGCGUGGGGGCGGCUCGUUGUUUCGUCGGGCUGGGACUUCAGCGUGGCAGGCGGCCUCGUGCUGCGCGGCAGCCGCGUCUAGGAGCUGCUGGACUCACUCUGUCAUGUGGCGGAGCUCGUCGCCACUGUAUUUGUUCAGCUCAAACGUUACCGCCUGUGCGGCCCGGAUGUUUUUUGCAGGCAUGGCGUAGACGGGGCGUUCUGCCCCGAACAUGCUGGCGAUGGUCGCGCCACGCUGCCGAACUGUGCCGAGGUGGCUAGGCCCCUCAGGAGACGGCGUGCCGCCUACGGCCCGGUCCAUCUCGCGCCUGUAGGCGUCCGACAGCCGGCGCAUGCUGGCCAGGCGGCCAGCAUUUUCGACAAGCUGGAGGCGGCGUGCCUCCGGCACCUCAGCAUCCGCGCCCUCGGGAAUGGGUGCCAUGAGGUCGCGCAGAGUGGCGUCGAGGGGAUCUUGAGCACGCCCGUCCGAGUGCUCCUCACUGUUGAUGACGAGUACCUCCCUGACGGUGCUCCCGCCGCUGGACUCGCGAGGGGAUCUUGAGCUCACCCGUCCGAGUGCUCCUCACAGGUGCGGAACGCAUCGAGCGACGCUGUGCCGGUGUCGACGAUCAUCGGAUCGGUCGAGCCGACGGACUCCAGGUCCACAACAGGCUUGCUGGUGACAUGGAGCUGGUCGAGGAGGCUGACGAGGCGGCUCUCACGGCAGCUUGUGCCCGCUUCGGAGGCCGGCUCGUUGGAGAGGUCGAUCUCGCCGACAAGGUGAGCGAGGCAGCUUGCCGUGCAGGCGAUCUCUGCGCCGUGCAGCAUGUCGGGGCUGACGACGUCAGGCGUGCUGGGCUGGCUUUGCUCGCCAAGAAGGAACAGGGUUCCCGUCUAGAGCAGAUCUCCGGGAGAUGGUGCACCUCGCCCCACAGUGGGCGCCAAAUGUCGGGGUUUGGGUGCCACAUAUGCCAAUGGAUGGCUUAUCAUGGUGGGAGCGAGUAGAACGUCGUCGGUGCCUGGAAGCGGGAUAAGGCGUAGACACGAACACUGCCGUACUUUACCCAGGUUCGGGGCUCUCCUAGGAGAUAACACCCCUAGUCCUGCUCUUCGGGGUCUCCGCAUGAUCACUAUGGCACAAGUACCUCUCUUCCUGCUCUAGGGGGGAGGGUAGUUAUAAUGGAGUGGGAACCCUUUGCAUGGGUGGCCUAGGGGGUUUAUAUAGGCCUACCCCCCAGGGGUACAAUGGUAAUCUAGCCGGCUGCUGGGCCCGGCUGUCAGUGUCUCCAGCCUCCGGCUUCUCCGCCGACCGCUGGGGCCCGUCGCCUGGUGGGCCCCGGUGACUGUGGUGGCUGCUUACUCUAGCCGUGUCGUUGGUGACGGGGGCUUGGUCAUCUUAGCGUGGCUACAGUCCCGCCACCUGGUGGGAGGCUACUGUAGCCACAUCUGGUCUUAUCAGCUUAAUGGCGUGCUCGCCUCGGGACAAGGGACGACCGCCUGCUGGAGGCCGGCCCCUCUCGAACCCGCCUAGUCGAGAUUCCGCCGUCUUCCUUGGGGUCACUACCCGAUAGGGCCCGCCUCUGGCAGGCCGUACCGACAGGCCGUCGAGGGGAACAGGGCUCCGCCUACCCGGAGCGACGUCAGGGUAGAUACGGCACAGUGUUCCGUUGUGCGGGAUCUCCGUCUGUACGGAGCACUGUAGUCACGCUCAUCUCGAGCGUGGGAGGCGUCAUGCUUCACUGUAGCCACGCUUUCACUUGUACUCUCGAUGGGGGCUCAGUCGCACCUUAGUCGUGAGGUGGCUGCCUGUCCAUUGCCGCCCUCUCCGUAGGGCGGCCGCCAGGAGCCGGCCACUCGGAGCACUAUAGUCUUGGCUCGGCCGCCCUCCGGCAACCGUCCGCUGAGCCAGACGGCCCCAGAGGGCGGAGCUUCAGCUUGGGGUCCAGCUAGGUGGAGCUGGCGGCCGCCAGGAGCCGGCCACUCGGAGCACUAUAGUCUUGGCUCGGCCGCCCUCCGGCAACCGUCCGCUGAGCCAGACGGCCCCAGAGGGCGGAGCUUCAGCUUGGGGUCCAGCUAGGUGGAGCUGGCCCAAAGUCUUGAUAAAUCCAAGGACCCGGGUGAGCCUACCCGUGGCCCAUUACUCCGACAGUGUACUUGUAGUUAUUUCUUCUCGUUUUCAUCUGUAGUUAUUCCGUUAUGCUUACCAUGCAUGCUUGUGUGCUAUCUUUGGCUAUGAUAGUUAGAAUGUUGAUAUUGAUAAUGCCAUGUCACUACUCUACUUUAUUUUCAUGUCAUCGUUAUAAAAUGCUAUGAUACACCGUGGAUAAGUUAGUACUUGGUAUUGUUAUGUUUUUUAUGCUGUAGUUGUUCACUUGAGAAGUUCAAUAUGUUAUUAAAGCAUUUGUAUGAUGUAUGCUCAUUGUUGCAUUCAUGUUAAAAUGCUUGUAUGAUAAUUGAUGAUGGAUAAGAUAAUAAUAUCACUUAAUAACAAAACCCCUCCGACAUCGAUGGGAUCGAGUCAUAGUGCCGCCAAAUCGAACUUUUCCAAUGCAACCACAUUUGCCGGUAUGGGACGGCCCUAAUUCGGUCUAUUGUCGUGCCUCUCGCCGGUGCCUCUAAUGAGGGAAGGUUAUGGGCGCGCGCUACCCUGAUCAGGUAGGCGGACAUAGGCCUUGUCUGCCAGUAGUUGGAUUUUGCGCACUUUUGUCCACGUGUGGGAUCAUUUAUGUUUUUGCCACGACGGUAGUUUGAGGUGUCUUGAGGUAGACACGGGGCCACCCAUGACUUAGCCCAGAGGGGAGCGAGUCGGAGUGGCGGGGAGAGUUUCAUGGCAGUAGAUCGGUUUUGUCGGAACGCCGUUGGUCCACCUGAAUGGGAUGACAAGGCCAUGGGUUCUGUAGUGUGGGUACAGUGCGCUACCUUUGAAUAGUGUAUUUAAACUACCGAUAGCCGCAUCCUCGGUCAUGGGCAUAUUUUCGUAGUAGGGUACACUAUCGGGUGUUGGUCGAAAUGGAGGAUAAACCUGAAAUAAUUAAGCCGAUUAAUGUGGUUGUGAUCGUCGUAAGGAUCAUGGGCCAGUUAUUGAUCAUGGUUGUGAUCGCCAUAAGGAUCACGGGCCAUAUAUUGGUCGGGUUGUGAUCGCCGUAAGUAUCACGAGUUUGUCUGUGUUGGUGGUCAGGAAAUGAGGUGAUCACGAGUGGUAAGAGAGUCCGAGAGGCUCAGUGCACAAGAUUGGUGGCAUUGCAUGAGUAAUAUGUUUGCAUUUAAUGGACCAUGGUAGAACAUGAGAUGGUUGCAUAUAGUUAACAUGCUAUGUCUGCAUAUGAUAUGAUUGGUAGUUUAUUUUCAGCAUAGUUUCAUGAUGCCAUGCCAUGCGUUGAUUGCUAUGAUUGAGAUGAUAUGCUAUGUUUUUCUGUUGCCACGUUAGAAGUAAAUUUGCUAUGCCAUGUCGUUGCCAUGCUAGUAGAUGUCAUGAUGUUAGUUUGAUUUAUGUCUUUGGUUGAUAUCAUGCCAUGUUUAAUAAUUGAUAUAAGAUAGGUUGUUGCAUUCGCUCGGUUCAUGCUUUGUCUUUGCUUGUUUGGAUGCUAUGUAUUUGGUUGUCUUACAAGUACAUUCAAUGUACUGACCAGGCAUGUCAUGCCAGUUUUGUAGGUCGUUCUUGCGGUGUUCUGGGAACGGGGGUCCCUAGACUUGCCUGCCUGCGGCCUGCAGCGUGGCUCAAGUGGUGGCCCAGUACGGCCCAUCUCCAUCAGCACAAGACUUAAGACCCUCGCGAGGGGAAAAGCCUCGCAGGGCGGACGACACAAGACUUCUUCAGGAACUGCCUCGCCAGGCAGGCUCACGAGGAGGUGGAGAGAUCAAUGCAGGGUACCUCAUGAGGUUCUCGUGAUGCAAGCCAUGACGAUCCGGACCAGGCGGGCACCGGCCUGUGCAGUGUCCUUGUUUCCUCUUUGGUGCAAAGGGGCCAAGCACAGGCGUGGAGUACCUAGGCAUCAGGCAAAGGUUGCCAUUUCAGUGCAACAAGACCAAGACGAGCAAAGCGGCAGGAUGGAGGUCACCGUGGAGCCCAGGACAACGUCAUCACCAGUGCCUUUGGCAGCCGAAGUCCAACUUUAGUCAGGAUAAGUUGUACUAGAUGUUCCCCUUCAAAAUGGCCGUUGUUGGCGCCCUUCCCGCUCAAUAUUUGGGAAGAGGCCCAGGGCAUCUAUAUAUAGGGAUAGCCACCACAUAAUAGGGGCAUCUCCUUCGGCAUCCAAGAGGCGAUCGAACUCACCCAAGCAGUUCAUCUCACCAGCUCAAGAACACCUCUCGCGAGGUUGUUCUUCCCUUGUACUGUUCAUCGUCAGCCCCUGAGGCAAUCCACCACACCACACACUGGAGUAGGGUAUUACACCACAACGGUGGCCCGAACCAAUAUAAAUCUCGUGUCCCUUGUGUUGUUCAUCGUUUUAGCUUAGAUUCUCACGAGGCGAUCGGACGGAGGUCGAUGGGGGAAAGAUCUUCGUGCGCAUCCCAGAGUUCGAAGCUUAAGGGUCUGCCGGAACCCAACAUCUGACAUUUGGCACGCCAGGUAGGGGUGCGCCGGAAUCUUCCUUCUUCUGUCCUACGUUCCGCCGCUUCACCGCCUCCAUGUCCGGUGACCCGACGGCCAACUCCCACCGCUAGGCAGCAUCGCCCGCCCAUGCCGUGCCGCUUGCCCAAGGUGACCUCAACCUCGCACCUCAGGUAGCCCGGGCCUCGCAGAAAGCGGCGGGGUGCGGGCACGCGGUCAGACGUCGCCUGUCCUCACUCCACGGCAAGUACGAUCAGCUGCGAGGGCCUCAAGCCACUCUGCGGCCACGACACCGCACACCCGAUGGGAGCAGGAAAACAUGAAGGCCGCGCUCAUGGUGGCGCAAGAGCUGCUGUGGUGCAGACUGCAAGAAAGCGGCCGCGACAUGCUGCUGGAGGGCGUCGCCGAGCUACUGGAUGCCGCCGCGUCAGGGGUUCCACCGUUCUGCGUCCAGCUUCCACCCCAGGCCCCGAGUGGAUCACGAGGCGGACCAAUCCGUGCCCAUGCACCCCCAGGCACGCCUCAAGGCUUCAUCAAUACCGGCCUGGCCCUCAGAGCUAGGCAACAAGCUACGCCGGCACCACCUCUGGGAAGCGAGGGCAUGCGCAUCGCUGCCUAUGGUCUUGGCGGGCCGCCACAAUACCGUCCCCAAGAUGGAGCUUCAACUCGAACUGCAUGGCGCGCGGAGCACUACGGCGAGGCCUUUGGGGUGGUGACCCAGGAGGCCUAUGUGCUCCGCAUGGUGGAUAAAGGGUACGCACUUGAGGAGAACCACGACUCGUUCCUCGGGCCAGGCUGGGAGGAAGAGGCACCAGAAGCCGAGCUCUUUCAGGAGCCCCACGGAAGCCUCGACAACCGUGCCGGCAGCAGCAACUACCAGGUACCACUAAUUCCUCAGGAGCAAGCUUAUGCUAACCAUGGGUCGGAGGAGGUUCAGGUCGCUGCAGCGGAUGUCUGCCCCAGUGUGGCAAUCUGCCUCCCCUCGGGAGGAGGGCACUGGGGGCAGCAGGAGAGGGGCCGGGAGCCGGGCUCCUCCCCACGGCACACGGAGCAAGGCGUUCUUCGGAGGUAGGCCCUCUACCGGGGAGGUGCCCUAGGGCCUGCCCCCAGCAGAGGACCCGUGGUCGUCGGGGGAACCGCUGGCGUCCCCUUUUCCCCAUUGGCGUCGUCCUGGUUUCCGGUCGCCGUCGAUGGGGUCAGGGGUGGCGCAAGGCGGGGCCCACAUCUGGGGAUAUGAAGCAAGGCUAGUAUGUGUGAAGAAGGCCCAGUGCCUGUGAAGCUCGCCGCCCGUGACAGUCUCACGUAUUAAUGAGUUGGGGUUGUACAUGCCCCGAAGUCUCCGGAGAGCCGCCCUCGGGCCUCGGGGGCUCCCUCCCACUGCGAGCCCACUCUAGGCUCGCCAAGACGAAGGUAAAACCACGACAACCUACUCAUCACAAAAAACAUGGCAUCAUGCAGGCGCCCAUCCAGCGACGAUCUCAAUAGCACAUAGGCAACAAUCUUUUUGAAUGAGGGGCUUCCCAUCCCAAAAUGCUCUCACGACCUUUAAGGGCCACGCUCGAGUCUCUUCCUGUGCAGGACAAACAGCAGGGGGGAGCAUGGGUUCAAUCGGACAUGUCACUCACUGCAUCCCCCAAGGCAUCCCCGAAGGCAUCGCUGGCACCGCCGUCGUCGCCACCAGCCUCUUCAUCGCCGUUGUUGACACCGUCUUCACAACCAUUCACCACGUCGCCUUCAUCAGCAGCAACGAUCACCCCGUCGUCAUCAGAGGUGAAGGCCCGGACGAGCGCAUCUACAUUAUCCUCCACCCGCCACGCUAGGUUGCCUCGGACGGCCUCGGGCACUGGGGCGAUGGCGGCAUCAAAGUAGAAGAGGGAAUCGAGGUUCUGGAGAUGGCUGAAGACGCGGGAGAAUGCCUGCGCAAGCAGGCCGCGCCUCCGUUCCUCCACCAGCUGGCGAGACCUCUCAGAGCGGUUCUCCAAAUGCGUCACCACGUCGGUGAAGAACUGGAGAUUGCCGGCAUAGUUGGUCACAUGCGGCUCGUUGGCGGCAGCCUCGCAGAUGUAGCCCAAGGCUGCGUUAGCCCUUUCCCUGAGCGUCUGGAGCAUGGGGCCGUGCAUGUCUUCCAACGUCUGCCGCUGACGGAUCUCGUCCACAUUCCGCUACGCGACGGCCUCGACAUCAUCAACCCACCAUUGAAGAAGGAGCAGUUCAGCACGGGAGAAGGACAGCUCAUCCUGCGUCGAGCUUAGAGCGACAACAGUGGCCUCAGCUCGCUGUGUGGCUUCAGUCAACCUGGUCCUGAGGGCAGCAGUCCUGCCCGUGGCUUCAGCCUUGAUCAACUCCAGCCGCUCUUCAUACUCGCGCUCAAGGCCGGCGCGAGCCUCUGCCACGCGACAGUCGAUCUCCUCCUAGAUCCGGGCCUCCCGUGCGCCGACAUCAUCCUCCGCCAGGGUGACCUGGCGCUCCCUCGUCUCCAACCGCUCCAGAUCGAGGUUGCGCUCGGCAGUCUCCAGUGUCAGCGCUUCCUCACGCCUCCAGAGCUCCUCCUCUUCCGCGGGCCCCCCUUUCAGCAGCGCAAGGGCGGCUUGGCGCAGCUCCACCUGCUGCUCCAGGGAGUUGCACCAGUCUUGGAGCUCCCAAGCGUGCUCCUCCGUAGCUUUGCGUCGCCUAUCCGCCUCCUGAGCCUCCUCAAAGGCCUGGGAGCAGGCCUCCCGAGAGGCCGCCAGGGAUGCCUCGGCCUUGCCAUUUUCGAGGUCACGCUGGUGGCGCACGAGACCAACGGCCGCCUUCAGCUUACGCCGCUCCUCGACCAACCUCAAGCUUUCAGCUUCGAGACGUGCGUCUUCGCCCGCCAGCUCUGCGCCUAGCCGGUUCACUGCAUCGGACGCCCUCUGGAUGAACUCCUGGAGGACAGCACUGCGCUCCCGCGCACGCCCGAGCAUGUCAUCAACAUAAUCUUCCGCCAUCAAUGCUGGCGGAGGGCCCCGGAGUGGUUCGCCCCCUCUCGGCAGUGGGCUGGGGGCUGGCGCCCCAGCAAUCGCCAGGCGGGCCCCGCGAGGGACCCAGCCAGGCGUCAAUCCACUUCCCGCUGAGGACCCAAAGACCAACUUCAGCCACUCGCCGCCUAUGAUCAGUGGAGGAGCUCGGGGCAAUCUGGUUGUGCCAAAGGAAAACUCACGAGGGAAGAGCGGCGUGCCGACAUGUUCAAGGAGCGCCGUGAGCUGGCCUGCAUCUCCAGUCGAGUUUGCACCAAGGGCGGCAUGCAGACUCGGGGCAGCCAAGGUCGGCGAUGAAGGAGGAGCCUGGGGAAGCGGCUCCUCAGCUGGCUCCGCGGGCUCGUCAGAGGGGGUCCUGAAAGGCCACGGUCAGCAAAGGGAGAGGAAAACAAGGAACUAUAAGAAGGAGGGACUUACUCGUCCAUGGCGAAGUACUUCCUGUGCUUCAGUGGGCGGUACGGGCGAUCAUCACCAUCGGAAGCCUCCUUCCUCUUGCGAAGGGCCUCGAAAUCUAUGCGGAAGCGGCCAAAGCUCGCGACAUGAGGUCCGGCGCGCGGCAUAGGAGCCGAAGCAUCAGGACAGCCCACAUCAAGGGAACCAGCCUGAGAGGAGCGAUCAGGUGCCACCUCUUGGUGGCCUGCCGAGGCCUUGGGGACAUUGAUCUCGGGAGCGGCAGGUCGCGCCCCAUUGUCAGCCACCACCUCGCGAGGGGCUCCGUCAGCUCCGGAGGAUGACGCUUCGGGAGCCCCAUGCGACAUUAGCACCUUGACAUCAGCCCCCCAGCUCUUGCCAAUACUUGCCUCCCUGCAAUGACUCCUGGCAAGGUCGGCGCGGGCGGCUAGGGGAAGGACCACAGCAACCGGGUUCUCGCGGGGCCCCAUGAGGCCAGCCGGGCGCAGCCCCCAUUCGUCAAAGCGGGUCAUCUGCCUCACGAAGUCGACCCUGUUUGUGCAAAGAUACAACAGGGCAUCUCCAUGAUGAACGCUGCCAGGAGAGGGGUUGCCGAUCAGGACCUGCAACACUUUCUUCAGCGUCUCAGGCGUGAGAUCCCCUUCCUGGAGCCUCAUACGGUCCUGACGACCAGAGUAAGCCCACAUUGAGCAGGAAUUGCGCUGGAGAGGAGCGAUGCGAUGCUGGAGGAACUCCUUCACCAACCGGGGCGCCGUCACCCCGAGCUCCCUCAGCCUCUCGACGCGAUGCCAGGUGAAAGCAAGUUGGGGGAUCGUAAGCUCCUCGUGACCCCAACCAGGAUUGGGAAUAGCAGGCAGCAUUGGGUGCGCGAGCAGGGGGCUCGGCACCCCAACGUCCACAUACAGCCAUCGUUCCUGGAACCCGCUUCCAGAAGGUGGGAGGCAAAAAUCGAUCCCCGAGGCGGCCGUCUCCGGCACGGCCUGGAAGCUCACUCAUCUCGAACACCGGGAAGGGUCAGACAAGCGUAGAGAGAAGAAGUGGCGCAGGAGGGCAACAGAAGUAGGAAUCCACACCAUGGCCUUGUAGACGAAGGCGAAGAUAGCAAGCAGAGUAAUGGAUUGGGGGCCAAGAUGCAUGAUGUGGAUCUGGUAAUGGGAAAGCAUAGCAUUUAAGAAGGCGGAAAAGGGGGGAACCAGGCCCGCCCACAAGGCGUCGACAAAGAAUCGGACAUCCGUGACGAUACUAUCGAAGGAGGCAUGGGACGCGGGCCAGACAGUCAUCUUCCCGCACUCAUUGAAGCUGGAGGCAAGCAUAGAGCAGACCUUCUCCAGGGCUUCCAGAUUGAGUCUGAACGACUUGUCGACGGCGGGAGCGGCUGCCGGAGGCGCGCUCGUCGAAGGCGCAGGCUUCUUCCGCUUAUCCUUUUUCUUGGCACCAUGGCAAUGGAAGGGGGGAAGAAAUCAAGAUGGAUUGGAAGCGGAAGCAGGGACUCGAGGAGGAACAUGGAACGAGAAGCGCGCAGGGAGCAAAGGGAGGAUAACUGUGUACAAGCCUCGUGGCCGCCUAGCCGGGCACAUAAUGAGGGAGCAUGGGGAAGCGGAGGUGCCCACGUCCAAUCAACCGUCACGCGGCGCCCAAGGCCGCAGGCUGAUGGGGCCCGCGGCGCUCCGCACUUGCCCCUUCGCUUCUCCGCUAAGCCAAGUCCGAGCGCGCCUUGGGCUCGGGGGCUACUAUUGGCAUUCUGGGAAUGGAGGUCCCCAGACUUGCCUGCCUGUGGCCUGCAGCAUGGCUCAAGUGGUGGCCCAGUAUGGCCCAUCUCCAUCAGCACAAGACUGAAGACCCUCGCGAGGGGCCAAGCCUCGCGGGGCGGACGACAUAAGACUUCUUCAGGAACAGCCUCGCCACGCAGACUCGCGAGGAGGAGAGAUCAAGGUAGGGUACCUCACGAGGUGCUCAUGACGCAAGCCAUGACGAUCGGGACCAGGCGGGCGCCGGCCUGCGCAGUGUCCUUGUUUCCUCUUUGGUGCAAAGGGGGCAAGCACAUGAGUGGAGUACCGAGGCAUCAGGCAAAGGUUGCCAUUUCAGUGCAACAAGACCAAGACCAGCGGAGCGGCAGGAUGGAGGUCACCGUGGAGACCAGGACGGCGUCAUCACCAGUGCCUUUGGCAGCCGAAGACCAACUUUAGUAAGGAUAACUUAUACUAGAUGUUCACCUUCGAAAUAGCCGUUUUUGGCGCCCUUCCCGCUCAAUAUUUGGGAAGAGGCCCAGGGCCUCUAUAUAUAGGGAUAGCCACCACAGAAUAGGGGCAUCUGGUUCGGCAUCCAAAAGGCGAUUGAACUCACCCAAGCAGUUCAUCGCACCAGCUCAAGAACACCUCUCGCGAGGCUGUUCUUCCCUUGUACUGGUCAUCAUCAGCCCGUGAGGCAAUCCACCACACCACACACUGGAGUAGGGUAUUAUACCACAAUGGUGGCCCGAACCAGUAUAAAUCUCGUGUCCCUUGUGUUUUUCAUCGUUUAACUUAGAUUCUCAUGAGGCGAUCGGAUGUAGGUCGGUAGGGGAAAGAUCUUCGUGCGCACCCCAGAGUUCGAACCUUAAUGGUCUGCCAGAAUCCAACAUCCGACAGUUCUCUUGUUCCAUCAUGCUAGGCCGUAAUCUUGCCAGUCCUUUGAGUUGUGGAGCCCAGCCAGAGUGAUAUGCUGCCAAGACUUCCGCCGCCAUUUAAAUAGACUUCCGCUGCCAUGUAAAUAGCCUUAGGGCUAUGCCAGAAGAUUAUAUUCAUCACUGAUGUAAUCAUAUACACAUGUAUUUGAUGAAUAUUCUUGUACCUGGAAUGAUGUAUCAUGCACCUGUCGUGCGUCAGGUGUUAUCCUGGGCUGACGUGCGAAGGCCCCCUGCUCCAUGCGGAUC
rnacentral:lncRNA from 1 species